AUAUAGUUAUAUAUAGGCCUGACUAUAUAUAUGUGUGUAAACAGCUUUCACUAGAUACUCAUGGUCAUUGAAAUUCCCAAGAACCGGUUGAUAAUCUUUGACUCAAUGAGAAAACCACAAGAAAAUUAUCAACAAAUGGCAAACAUUAUUCAAAGGUACGUAAUGUCGAUCUCAGCUAGAAGAAUAUCAUAUAAUAUGACUUUGUAAUUAUUAGUUCACGAUCCACAAUGGCUGUGUGUAGGGUUUGGGAAAGAUUCAUUGACCGUGAACAUCUCAGUGGAUGUAAAUAAAGCGCCGCUUAACAUAAUACAUCCACAAGUAAGUUCUACUAACUAGCAAACUUUCGCUAACUUUUAGCCUUCUUAUUGUCGUGGUCGUGAAUAUUAUAUAUAUAUAUAUAUAUAUAUAUAUAUAUAUAUAUAUCGUACAGUGGUGUUUAAGACAAGAAGGGGGGAACAAUCUAUGUGCAUAUUACGUGUGCAAAUUCAUGAUGGCACAAGUCAAUGAAACACCCACAGAGACGCUCAGAGUACGUUACAUGUCUCUUUUCAUUAUCUCCUGAAUUAUAUUGAAUAACUUACAUAACUAAUACCUUUUUUAUUUAUUUCAAAUUAAAGACGGAAUGGUUGAGGGAAAAGGUCCUACAAAAAGACCGAAUCAAAGCUAUCCAAGAGAUGAUAGCAGGAUUUCUCCGCGAGCAAGUGAUCAAUCCAAACGGCGAGUUUCACUUCAACGGCAACGAAACUCUUAUUCCAAACAACGAUGAUCAUUUGUAUCGUUUGUAGACAUUGGGAGAAAAAACUCUAUGUAUAUAUGUGUUACGAAUUUUGUACAUAUAAAACUAUAUAUAUAAAAAGCUUUUUACAUAUCUAUUUAAUUUUUGAUGUGGCCUAUUCAUUUUAUUAUAGGCAAAGCUUAAUUAUUAAGCUAAGCCUAUAAUUUUCAUUUAUAUAUGCUUAAUAUGCGUGUAAUAUAAAUAUAUUAUUGUAUCAGCAAAAACAUGUAUUGAAAAACCUAUUAUUAUAUAUUAUAUAUAAACAAUAAACAGAACCGAAGAAGUGAAAUAAAAAAAAACCCCCAACCGGUGUUAAAGGGUCCUGCAACGUGGCAGCCCUGGCAGGAUCCUUUAACACCGGUUGGUAUUACCAACCGGUGUUAAAGGAGAGGGCUUUAGCCCCGGUUCCCCGAACCGGGACUAAAGGGAGGGCCUUUAGUCCCGAAAGGGCAGCACCGGCUCGGGAACCGGAGCAACAGACCCUUCCCGACCGGUGCUAAUGCCGUAACGUCCUGCAGUGUACCAAGCCGAUCAGCCCAAACAGCCACACAUGCCACAGCUAGUUUUUUUUUGGACCAGGGGGUGCUCCCAUCCUCAUAGGUGCAGUGCAUCCAUUGUCUCUCUCCUGUAGCAUAUGUAUAUCCAUCGUCAUCCGACGGUUUUAGGACGCAAGUACAUGCCUAUAGAAGCAGAUUUAGGCUCCCAUAGAAUUUUUUUCCUGGUUCUAUAAAUAUAAUGUGUGAAAUUUUUGUAUGAUUACUAUGAAAUUCUUGUAUUCCAAUUGGGUCCAUAACUUUUCUGCGUCCUACAUAGUUGCUCGUAGAAAUCAGUCGAUGAAACCAUGCAAACUGAAAAAUUAUUGCCAAAGAAAGCACACACAGCAGCAGAAGACAUUUAAUUGCUUAACUAUAACUGAUACUUUUCAUUAGCUUUAAUCCAACCGCCUGGCAAUCCAUGAUUACAUGAAGACACAAGCCUUCCCAUUGCCAUGUCUGUUUCCGUUUUCAUUUCUUGCAAAGAUAAAAACAGAAGAAGAGCAAACAAAGAUGGGAAAUAAGGAUAACUGAUGACGAGAAACUAGAUGGAUAGUAAGAGCAACUCCAAUAGUUUGCUAAAACUCACUUGGCAAAUCUAUAGUUUUGCCAAGUCUCGAAACCAAAUGCCAAGUGAAAAAAGAAACCUUCUCCAACAAUUUGUUAUUUGGACUUGGCAAAAGAACUUGACAUUGUAGGAUUUUUGCCAAAAUCAUAAAAUUGAGCCUCCAACAAGUUGGCAAAACUAGUUGGCAAAUUGGGAUACACAUAAUGCAAGUGAUGGAGGACUUGGCAUAUUUGCCAAGUGAAGGGGAAAUUUUGUCAAUCUCACAUAAUUGCCAGGUAGGUUUGCCAACUUGUUGGAGGCUGUUUUUUUUGUGGUUUUGGCAAAAAUCCUAGAAUGCCAAGUACUUUUAGCAAACUGUCGGUAUUAGUAAUAAUUAAGAUAGGCUAAAGUUACGAUGAGAUACUAAGAUAGAUAGUAAUAAGAUAGAUAAUAAGAUAGGCUAAAGUUAAACACCAACACCCAACAGUCUUUGGUGAAGUUAAAUUAUGACCACGCCGAGUGCCUGAUGAGUCCCUACCCUACUAUAUAUAAAGAUAGCUUCAUUCCCAAUCAGCUCAUGCGCGCAUCGUCUUGUUGCAGCAGCGGCUCGAUCAAUCGGUGAGCUCAAGCGCGGUCCUUGCGCGUCGCCGCGUUCCCCAGGGUGAGCUCCAGGCCAUCCUCCUCGUCGGCGUUCUUCUCGGUCAUCACGUCCUCCUCCCUCGCGCCCGCCUGCUCCCCGCCGCUCCUGCGGAACGAGAACCCGAGCGGGGACAGCAGCGCGCCACCGCGGCCCGACAUCAGCGCGCCACCGCGGCCCGACAUCAGCGCGCCACCGCGGCCACGGAUCGCGGCCGACGCCCCACUUCUGCUGCGUCCCGGCAGCGGCGGGAGCAUCCAGGGCUUCCAGCCAGAACCAGAUGCAGAGCUCCCGGCACCGAGCGACGACGCGCCGGACGCCACGAAGCUGCUGCUGUACGCCGCUGCCUGUUUGUUGGCCGCGGCGUUGGAUAUUUGGAACCCCGCCAGCAGGCUCACCGGGUCGGGGCCGGGGGUCCGGCCAUUGACGGUGCUCAUUAGCGGCGGGGUGGAGGUCUGGAAGGAGAAGCGGCUGGCGCCAGCACCCGUGGCCCACGGAGGCGGCGGCAGCACGUUGGAGUUGGAGGCCGAGGCCCUCGCCGAGCUUGGCGGCGGGGAGGAGUAGCGCGACAUCUUGCGGAGGCGCAGCGGGGACGAGGGCGCGGAGCCGUCCUGCGGCGUCGCCGGCGCCUUGGAGUUGGAGGAGCUCGCGAAGAAAUUUGGGUACGAGUUGUCGCUGAGCUGCUUGGACUGGUUCUUGAGCCACGCCGGAAUUGGGUCGGACGACCCGCCGCUGCCACCGCCGCCGAGCAUGAUGCCGGAGGGUGACGACGCCCGGGUCAGGCUGUAGGAAGCUCCGCCUGGGUUCUUCACCGGAGCCGGAGCAGACCCGCCGAUGUCGGCCAUGUGCUGAUCACCUGCCCGAUCAGGCUUGGGUCCCUGAAUAAAUAAACACAAAACGAAAGCCGAUCGAAAGAUAUCAUAUCAGUGAACAUAUGAUAGACAUGCAUUCAUGCACGCGAAAAAUGUGCAAUCGCAAGGCAUUGUAAAAGCAAACGACAACACGGGUUUUCUGUCCCUGAACACACAUCCGUUAUUCCGUUUACAGUCGACAUUACGUACGACUAACGACUGAACGAAGCAGCAGCAUCAGAACACGCAUGGAGAGUAAAACACAGAUCAAGAACAAGGACGACAACACAAUCUGCAGGCAUGGUGCUGUAAGUCUGUAACGUGACAUGCAUGGUAGCACAGCUACCUUUCGUCAGAGCCGUGGCUGCACUGCAGUGGAUAGCUGCUCAUCCAAUCUUGUUGGAAAGGCAGGCUAGGCAAUGGAACAGCAGUCGAUAUAGCUAGACGACAACUUGACAAGCAACUGUACGGGAUCGAAAAUAAUGAAACAAAUUUUGGAGUUUUGCUACAAAAGUACAAACAAAAGCGGAAAAGAGAACUGUCGACGAUACUACACUACACACGCAGCGCAGCUCGAUUGGCAAAGCGAAGCGAAGCAGGACGACGACAAGAACAAUAUUGGGAAAAAAGACGGCGGCGCGCGGCGACGACCACGGAACACACACAGCUAGCGCGCGAGAAAACGCAUGGGUACCUUGCGGUAGGUGGUGCCGUCGGCCUCGACGGUCCAGCCGGCCUCCUCGCAGAGCGCCAUGAGCACGUUGUUGUUGUCGCAGUGCCUGGGGAGGGCGUAGUUGCCGUACAGGCGCAGCCCGGCGAAGAUCCUCCGCGCGAUCACCCGGCGACAGCGCUCCCGCUGCCGGUUGUUCUCCCGCUCACGCCACGACGGAGCCCGCACCGCCGCCGCCUGCUUCCCGUCCCCGUCCCCGUCCCCUGCGGCCCUAGCCCAUGCCUCAUCACCCCCACUACUCCCUCCGGCCGCUCCUACUCCUCCUCCCUUCAUCCCCAUGCCUCUCCACCCAGAGCUCAGCUCGCUCGCUCGCUUGCUAGUGAUGACGAAUUGAAUCUGCUGUGUUGCUGGCCGUGGACUGUGGUGGUGGUGGUGGUGAUGCAUUGGCGGCCGGCGGGCCGGGGCACCUUUAUAUAGGCCGCCACUGGUAACUGGCAGGACAGCGAUUUUACCAUUAUGCCCAUGAGACAACUGGACAUGAUGGCCAAGGAGCAGGAGGGACACCUUUGGGAAUUGCAUAAGGUGCCUAUUGCAGCAGUGGCAAUUUUUAGCGGUGGUGUAUUUGCCUUAAUGACAUGCCAAGAAUGGAUGACAAGGAGUGAUCAUGUUAGAGUAAACAUAGAUGAUUGCUAGUUUUAGGAGAGCUGUAUUCAUUAUGGUAUAUAAACUAUAUGGGGCUGGCCGGUGGUGCCCUGUGAAGGUUAAAACAUAGAUGGUUGCUCAUCCAGGUCCGGACCUGCUUAUCGUCAUCGAGCGGCUGCUGAUGCACUAGCACCACGUCUGUCUUUCCCACUGGGUUGUGCCUGUUGGGUUUAGUCCUUGCCACGGUUGUGCAACCAUCGAGUAUGGCCUUGUUUAGUUCAUGAAUGAAAAAAUUUCGCGAUACUGUAGCACUUUUGUUUGUUUGUGGUAAUUAUUGUGCAACCAUAGACUAACUAGGCUCAAAAGAUUCGUCUCGUCAAUUUCGACCAAACUGUGCAAUUAGUUUUUAUUUUCAUCUACAUUUAAUACUCCAUACAUACGUCUAAAGACUUGAUGUGACGGAGAAUCUUGAAAAAUUUUAGGAUUUUGGGUGGAAGACACGUGCGGCCAGCGGUCGCACAACCGUGAAGUAACUCCAAAUACGUGCGAGUUUACUUAACUCUAGAUACAUGCAGAUUUGGUUCACUAAAAAGUCAUUAUAUUUUACGUGCAUGUUUGGAUGGUUUUCCGAGGCAAUAGCAACGCACUCCUUGACAAAAUGACGGCAGUAACGGAGACUAGAGGGGCAAAAGUGUCACCACUUCUACUUCGAUGUGGAGUUACCGAAAAUAAUUGUUUCUUUUUAGUAUUCAACGAAGAUCUAUGUUACUAUGCAUGGUUAUAUGUAUUACAAAACAUGCACAAGCACGGCAGUUUCAUAUACAUUCAUGCGACAGAGAAUCAUAACGACACGUGUGUAUGCACGUGCAUAUUAUAAUGCAAAAAGAUUGUUUCUAGAAUCAAAUGAUGUCAACCAUUUUUCGACAAAAAUUAGAUGGAUUACAACAUAUCCUCCUUGACUAUAGUUAUUUUUGUAGUUGUAGUGAAUGAUCCUCGAUCAUCAUAGAAAGUUAAUGAACAUUUACUUAACCAUUAAGCUAGCUACCAUCAUAUACAUCCUCAACAAUGAGCAACAACCAUCUAUGUCAGAUCAAACAUUUUACAAAACAAGUCAAUUAUUACCAUUUCUCCAACUCGAUGCAUUGAAAUAGCAUUGUACAUUAACUUGAUAGUUUUGCCGGCAUAGCUUGAUAGUUUUGGAAACAUCAUAGUUCUCAUUGAUAGGGUCGCUAUAGCUGUACCAAUAUUAUUGUGAUACAUCAUGUAACAAAUUUUAACACGAUGGUGGAGUAACCUUGUGUUUGUGCAUGAUUAUACAACUACAUCCAUAUAUGUGGAAUUACAACAACAUCCCUUGUGAGAUGAACAUUUAUACAACCAUGGAUCGAUCUUUGCCAAAUAAGAUGUGUAGGCACAUGCAUGAUUGUUAGGAAAAGAUAGUUUCCUCGAAUAGAUGUUGAUGUACACCAUUGUUUGCUUUUUGCUUUCCUUGUUACAUAAAAUCUCUAAAGGUUUACAACACAAGCUCCUUGAUGAUAGAUGUUGGUUAUAGUUGUAAGGGAAUGAUCUUUAGGAUCAAAAACUAAAUGAACAUUUCCGCAACCAUGAGUCUACCAUCACAAAUGCACAACAAUGAACUACUACAAGAAUCUAUGCCAUCUCAAGGACAUUUUACAGAACAGUUGGUUGAUAACCUUUGUGCAAAUUGGAAAGUUGACAAACCAUUGUUUCAGAAUCCAAAAUAAGUUAUUGCUAGCAUGGCUUAAAAAUCAUAGAUACAUUAUAUAAUUCUUGUUUACUAACAACAGAUGUAACAAUUUUUUUCUAGGAGUGAGCAAGUGCAUUCUAGAACCAAACACCACGCCUAGAUGAAGUAUGAAAAUGAAAGCCAAAAUUAUUUUUUUUAAACAAGCACCAUAACUUCAAAUUUCAUAGUUGUAUCAAUCGUUUUGAACUUUUGACUGUUACAUCAAUCCUUUGAACCCAAACAAUUUGGUUUAUAGGAUAUUGGGUUGUGCAAAGAACGAAACCAUGAUAGAUGCGCGCGUCCAAUUGGUUAGGUUUGAGCUGUCAAUUACCCUUGGUUUAAGUCAAACUAAAUCGUUUCCUUUUCUUCUAGUGCAAGUCAGCAAGUGGUUGAUCAUCACUCCACCUGGUUCCAUUGAAGUCACACGCCAAUUGUUUUUUGACCGAAAACUCACCCUAGUUGUUUUAGGACACUUUUAUUUGCUUCCUCUAAUUUACUAGAGUAAAAUUAGUAGCAUUUAGUGUACUGCCAAAACAUUUCUGUUUGCUUAAUCACUGUUACCUCUACCUCUACCUUAGUGCAUUGUUUGGCAUUCUUCUCAUUCAAAGUACAGUAUAAUUAAUAGGCUUUGCUUAACCAGGGUGGUUCUAUUUGAGAAUAGUGAUGCUGCUGCACAAUUUAAUAUGGAUUUAUUGAAAAAAAUAAUAAUAUAAACAACAAAUAUAUACAUAUAAGGUGUCAUAUAUGAAAACUUGAUGUCAUGGCAAAAAAAAACGAAAGAGAGAUGCAAUGAGUUUCAUCUAGUUGAAGCGGCACUGUUUCCACGUCUGAAUGUGUCAUAUAGUUAAGUGCAAUGAGAGCAUUUGAAACACAAAAUUAAAAUUAUGCAGUGUCAAAGGUUGUCUGAACCAUGAAGCAAAUCCUAUUUACUAACAUGACAUACUUAGAAAAUAAAACUAUGCUUGAGAUUGGUCUCUUGUUCAUUUGAUUACUGCUAUACUGCUACCAAGCGCAGUGUUUAGCACGCCUUCAAUUCAAAAAUCAAAACAGAGAGUGCAAUUAAGCAUCACCAAAAUAAAAAGAAAGUACCAUUAAUACGAGUUACUAUUGACCAGACGGUUAUAAUUUGACCAAGGGCUCUGCAGUACUAUGGAUAUAUAUGAGUUUUCUUUCACAAGAAAAGACAAAAAUAUUUUUUAAAAAUGCUAAUAUAUAUGAGGGUGCAUGUAUUAGGUGAUACUAAAACAGUAGUUAGUAAUUUUAUGCCAAAUAUUUCCAUUUGAUUUUUAUUACUUCUAUGAGCUUAUCUACUGAAUCUGCCAGUCAUACAGUAGUGUUUUUUCUCUCACAACAAAUCAGCGAACAAUACUUUCAACCAUAGCUUAUUAGCUAAGCGAACAGAGCGUACCUUACUGCAAUUUUAGCAUGGUUUCGAUAUACAUUAGAGAGAGAGAGAGUGCAAUUAAAGCCCGCUAAAGAUGGACAGAGUACAAUUAAUAGUAGUGCUUAGCCUAAGGGGCGGUGUUGGUUCUAUAUAUACUCCCUCCAUACCCAUAAAGAAAGUCAUUUUGGAUAAGGUUUGGGUCAAACAUUGAGAAUAUAAAUCAUGAAUAACUUUUAGUUGUCGAAUUUGGAAAUAUGAAAACUAUAUGAAUAGAUUUGUCUUAAAAAAUACUUUCAUAAAAGUAUACAUAUACCAUUUUUUAAUAAAUAUUUUUAUAAAAACAAGGAGUUAAAAUUAGGCUUUGGAGACCGUAUCGUUGUCCUAAACGACUUCCUUUAUGGGUAUAGAGAGAGUAUAUAUGAAAAAUUGAACGACCGAGGUCUGCUUCUAGUUUUUUUUUAAAAAAGCAAAUCAAACAAGCAUGAAGUUCAAAUUGGGCAAAAUAAAAAAAACGAUACAACUACGGUCGGUUGGAGGCCCGCUCUUGUGUGACCUAUUGUGGCGUUUUGGAUGGUCGCGUACCCACUACACUUGUGUUGAACUUUGUUCGUACCAGCUAUAUGUCAUGACAACAACUCUCGUUCGGUGGGCCGCGCCCUGCAUGCAUGCAACGACGCACACGAAUGGGAUGUUAAACGAAAAAUCCAAGGGUCAUAGGAUUUCGGGGUGACAUGGCACCCACUUCUUCCCCUAGAAGCUGCCGGAUGGUUUAGAUGAGAAUGAAGCCCGAUCUGCGCGCGCGUUAGCUUUAUUGAAUUUCCAUUUGUUUGUGCCCUUUGUGGGUGACACUCUGCAAAUCACUUUUUACUGAGUGCCCGAUAUAAAAUACUAAACAAAGCGUUUGACACUCGGCAUAGAGCGUGUCUCCGGUAGUGCACCUUUAUGCUCUGAGGAGAAAAAAGGCUAUUGUAGUACUAGUUUCUCCCAAGGUAGAUAGUGUGUAUAUACGUAAGCAAGCACACCAUUAUAUGACCGUGUGUUUUUAAAAUGAGCAGCUAGCUAGCAGCUACCGUCCAUGUGUGUACAGUUGCACACCACUCCAUAUCCCAUCGCAUGGGUUCCUACUGUUCUCCUUAAGUUUCACUUACUCGAUCGACUGUUUGCUUAUCUGUGAAAUGAGUAUGCUUUUAAAAAAACUGCUAUGAAAGGAGUGUUACCAUUGGCAGUUUUGUUCACUGAGCUUUUGGGUCGUCAGCGAGAAAGUUUUUCGAUCUACCCAUGCAUUGUUUGAUGAAGGAGAUGAUCAUCUAGGAUGCUCAUAACUAGUUAUUUGGCUAAUAACUCGUUGAACAUUUGGCUAAAUAAUAAUACAUGAGGAGAGGCCAUUGUUGACGGUCCUUAAGUACCAAACAUAAUCAUCAAAUAAAUAAAGAAAAGGAUCCAAAUGCAACCAACACCCAGACUUAGGGUUUUAUCUGACAGAAUUCCACGAGUUUUGGUGUUUGUCUAUUUCUGCAGGGGGUUAUCAGAAAAUAAGGAAGAAAGGCCCACAUGUCGGGAUUACAUAGAGAUAUCAACGCACCGCGCAAUUUUCUACCAUCUAGAAGACUCCAGAAGCCACGGGAAGAAAGCAGAGGCCGAAAGGGGCCAGGCCCAGGGCGCCCGCCCUGUCCUGGACUCCGUUCAGGACUCUCUUCGCACACGAUGUUCCACCGACCUAAAGGAUCAAGGAUAACGUAGUACCACAUCGCCUACCGACCCAAAAACGCAUAGAGGAGGAGGACUAUAUAAGGAGACCCCCCUGGCCCCUGGAGAAGAAAAGAAGUUAUCAUAGAGAUUGUGGGGUGCCCUCGAAGGAAAACCUCUUCUCUAAAUAAUAUUUCUUUUUAGGCUUAGCAACCAAUGUAAGUAGAAAUAGAUCUUCUAGUUUCUACUAGAUUGAGAGAGAUAGAGUGAAGGUGUAGAUCGGAGGAAGGCCGGCCUGUCGGUGUCUACUCCGAGUUGUACCUGCGGGAUCAAGUCUCCUAACCCGAGGCUUGCUUCUAAGAUUCUUCAGUAAUUCGGCUUCUAAUUCUAGUAAGUUCUUGUUUUAUUGUUCUUUGGUUUAUGAGUUUACUUUAAUCCUCUUCCGGUUGAGUAUUAGAGUAAUCAUUGCUAGCAUAAACGUGGUGUUUAGGCUAGGGUACUCAUAGAUAUCCCCUGACUAGCUGGACCGUGGUAUAGUAGCGAGGAACGUGACAUUUCCGAGUUACCUUUGUAUCCCAUAUCUUGUUAGCAGGACGGGUAGGGUUUAUAGGUGCGGGUCGAACAUCCUUUGUGGUGUCUAGAUUCCGUAAGCUUCCCCAAUAGAACAGUAGAUCAUCCUUACCAAGGUUAGAACGAGACUACGGUUGCAGUCUUCUCUAUACAUCACUCACAUCGAGAAACAUUCUUUGUAGCCUAAAGGGAUAGUAGCAAUAGAUUUGGUUAGUCAGAUGCACCCUUUCUCCCAGUGGUAAAAAUAUAAAUACGAUACUCUAGAAAACCUCCCGGGUGAAAUGCUCACCGAUAUCCGUGCGCUUGCGGAUCAUUUUCUUAUUGCGUUACCAAAUAUCAACAAGCAUUUCUGGCGCCGUUGCCGGGGAGAAAGACGGUUUGCUGAGAUAACUUUGAGUCUUGCUAUUAUCUUGUAUUAUACUUUUAUACUUUUAUUCUUUUAUCUUUUUAUUUUUAUCUUUAUGGAUAACUUAAAUUCCAUACCUAUUAUUGAAUUCUUUGCACCUUCGGAGACUAGCCAUAGACCAUGGGAGUCAACAAGUCCUGCCCCUAAUUAUGAUCUGUGUCCGGAGUUGAUUGCAAUAGGUCAAAACCAACCCUUUUCUAUAGCUGAGGUCCUAUCUUUUAAUCAAGAAGAUAAUGCACUUUUAGCUAAACCUAGGGAAUGUGUUAAUCUUUCUAUAAAUUCUGGUUUAGACCUAGCCCUACAAGACCAUGUUUGUUCUCGAUAUUUUCAUAUUGGUCUUAAUCAUAUACCCUUUGAUAGAGUCUUUCUUUCUUUAUCUAUUUGUAAAGGAAGGUAUGUCUUCAUUCGUGGACAUCCUUCUUGUACUAGUCUUUAUAGAAAAAUCUUAGAGAUAGAGAAGGAAUCAUCUCCCAGACAAGGAAAUAAAGUUUCAAUAGCCAAUUUCCAAACAUUUCAAUCCCAUGAUUUGGCUAUCCAACCCAUCCUUGAGCCUAAUAAUUUCUACUAUGCUCUUUCUCUUGAACCUCCCGAUAAUCCUAUGAAUCUCUCUAGACAUCCCAUGCAUAAGAGUCACCAAGACCACAAGGAGGAUCGAGAAGAGCAACAUCAAUGGCUAGAGGGCAUUAAAAAUCCAUGUGCUAUCACCAUUGAAUGGAUAGAUAAAACAAACUUGAGAGACAAUCCUAGAGGAAUUUUAAUCAUUCAUGAAGAAUCAUCCUUGGAGUUUGAGAAUGAGAGAAACAACAGUGAGCAUGGAAGUUAUUUCAUAAAUACCUCAUCAAGUCCUUGCUCAUAUAAAACAUCUCCCCAAUCAAUUGGUCUCUCUAACCUUACCACAUUUGAGAUCUCCAACCCCCUCUUCUUUUCUAUUUAUAAAAACUUUAAAAGAGCGGUUGUCGAUGCAUAUGUCUAUAAUAAAUAUUGCAGAUCUCGUUGAGUUGAUUGAUGGUUUCCCAAGGACAAGCUUAGUGUCCUAAAACAAGCACUUAUCAGAUCGUAACAUGAACUUCUAAUUAUUUACAACAUUGCCUUGUGUAUUGAGCAUAUAAGAUAAUUGUAGAAAUAUUCCUUCGGGUAUUCUUGUCACUAACCUUUCCAGGAUUGGAGCAAAAAGAUCGGAUGAAUGACAAGCACAAGGUAUGUCCAACCAAUCAUCAUGCAACAUUGAAUUAAAUUCAUCCAACAUUGAAUUUUGCAAAAUUCAAGCUUGGGGGAGUACUUUACAUAAAAACAUCAUUUGCCAUGUUGCUAUGUUGGUUGUCCUUACCUUUGAGACAUGCUCAAUUUGUUAAAUACUAAUCACACUACUUCAUCUCCACUUGAGUAGAUCUCUAUAAAUACCAUCAUGCUACCUUUGUUUAUCCUAGUAAGUGUUGGUUUGGAAGUACUCGACAUACUUUCAUUGGCAUUUAAAUUAAGCAUGGUGCUUAGGUUAAACAACCUUCCUUAAUCUAAUUAGACAUGGAGUCUAGUUUGUUUACUGAACUAAAAACUGCUUGAGUAGAUAUUGGUAUAUUUUGUGGGACUAACCCCUGCAGGAAAACUUUCAAUAUCAACCUGGGAAGUCCUGAGAUAAACUCACAUUAGAGAUGAAGAAAGUGACACAUGAAGUUUAACAAUUUGCACAAGAAAGACGUAGCUCAUAAGAGAUGAUCCAUGAAGAGUGCCACAAACACGAUGCACAACCGCUAAGAAAGGAAAGCUUCCACAAGGUGAUACUAUUCCAUCACUCUUCAAGUAAGGUAACAUUUUAAGGUACACGACUAUCACUUUUAUAAGUUUGUCCUUGGUUCUGGCGUUCACAUGAAUAAAGAGACAAACAUGUAUGAUUUGUAACUCCAAAUUAACCAACCCAAUUAAUUCAACAUGUUUAGUCCUUUAAUCUUUAAUCUUAGUACUACCUUCGUGAUUCCACACUCCUAAUCAUAUAAGCUAAAGUAUUGCACAUUCAAUCUUUGGAAGAUAUAAACAAAACAUAAAUAUAGAUAGAUUAUCUUUCCACUAGGUUGAGCCAUCUGAUCUGACAAAUGUUUUAAAUGCUACACUCAUGAUCCUAUCAACUUUGUCUUGCUCACUAUGCUUAAGGUUAGAGAAGAACAAACACACUUUUGGUUCUGUUGGUAUUUUUCACCAACAGGGCCCAUGCACUUGAUCUCUACCUUGUCUCUAUGAGCAGGAACAUUUCGAGCAUAAUAUGAAGGAGUUUUAUAACUCCCAAACUCCACCAAGAGAAGAACCGGGAUCUACGAGCACAAACACACUGGAGAUAUUGGACACUCAGGCAAUCACUGCCCUGAGAUGCUUGAGGACGUGAACUCCGUCCUCAACAAAAUCAAGGUUAGAAUCAAUAGAGGCCUAAUUACUCAGAGAGGUGAUCCAGGACGUCCCGUCAUCCCGAUCUCCAUCAGCAUGGUGGACUUCCCAGAAGCACUCUGCGACUUUGGCUCCAGCGUCAACAUUAUGCCCAGGGUUGCAGAUCGGACACUCAGUUUCCCAAAGGAAAUAUUGAAGAACCUCUGCGUCCGAGUUGGUACCUUGUACACUCUAGCAGACUUCGUGGUGAUAGAGACUGGUACUGAGGAGAGGGCACCCAUCAUCUUAGGGAGGCCAUUCCUAAACACCAGAGCUGUCAUCUACGUUAAUGCUGCCAAGAUCAGUUUCUACAUCAAGGGGAAGAAGGAGACUUUCCUUCAAGAACAAGACUACACAAAUUUCAGAGCAAUCCCGACACGAGCCAAGGAAGAGGACCAACAGGAUGAACAACCGAGUCAGCUAAGAUGGUCACUGCAGUUCAAUGAGGUCAAGAUCGUCGACUCAAGUCGCCUUUCCUGAUCAAGAAGGACGACCCUGGUGUUCCAAGCAUCGAGUGCACAAUCAAUGGAUACUCUUUUCAGAAGACACUCUACGACACCGGAUCUGACGUCAACGUAAUGGCCGCAGUCACUUAUCAGCUCCUGCAUGGAACCAUGCCCCUACAACCAAUAUAUAUUCAGCUCCAGAUGAUUUUCAGGUGAUCGACAUGGGAGAAGACGAGUACGAUCCACCCAUCAUCCUUGGAAGACCAUUCCUCAACACUAUCAAAGUUAUCAUCUACAUUGGAAUCGGAGAAGUCCACGUGUACUUUCCCUCUGAGAAGGUACACCGCUAUUUUACUGACCCUAACUAUAUAGUUGAAGACUCUAAGCAGGUCAGGACAAGAAGAAGACUACGCAACCGCAACCAGAGGAGGCAAAUCAUCAAGGACGGAUGGGUAGACUACGAAGGAGAAGUGAUAAGGUUUGAAGACAUACAGCUUGAAUAGAAUUGUCCCGAGAAGACCGUAGCACCGAGUCAGGUGUUGAAAGAGAAGAUAGUUACACACGAAGAGGAGGCGCCGCCGGAACCACCGACUAUGCCAUCCAGCGAAUCCCAAGAUGACUGAGAAAACGGAGAGUCCCGUUCGGAGGACUUAAAAAUACCGAACGCCUUGCCAAGAGAAUUCAAAGAUAAAAGAAGACUACACAGAAUUCAAGGAUAAAAGAGGACUAGUAGACGGAGGACAUUCUAAUCGCUGUUAGGGUACUACCGACAUUCAAAUACACCUCCACCACUUGCGAGCUACAUCAGAAGAAAUUAUGUCAAAAUCCAGCUUGGGGGAGAGCACCCCCAUUUUUCCAGCUAAGUGUUUCUACUCGCAUUUAUACUUUACUCAAAUAAUAAAAGAUACAUAAUCAUGAAAACCCAAAUAAAGAUUUUGUGCUUUUAUAUAUAUCUUUGCUUAGUUUGCUAAAUAAAUAAAGAAAUAAAGUUUGCUAUGAACCCUCAUGAUAAACUCUCACAUGGAAAUGAUGAAUAGUUGCUCUGCAUGACUAGUUCUUAAAAUUGAAAUCUCUCUCAAGUUUAGGCAUGACUGUUAUGAAGUAAGAUUUGCUCUAAACCUGAACUUGUGGGAAGAGUACUUGAUCUAAAGUCUAAGUUGUUAACGGAUAUGAUAUGGGAAGGUUGAGCUGCUGUUUAUUUGUUCCUAGAGAUGCUAGAAUUCUGGAGAAUUUUAUCUUUGAAAAUCUUUAAAAUAACACAUGAUGAGUUCCUAUAUGAUGAGAGUUUAAAAUCCUACCACAGCCAUAUAUACAUGCUUGCUAGAGUUUGAACCACACAUUUACUUUUUACUGCUUAUGAGCAUUGAGUGUGGUCAAGCUGUGUAGACCCUUAGGAGCUUGUCAUGCGGUUAAAAUCAAGAUUCACUUGCACGUGCACUCAUACAUGCUGCUUCUACUCCGGAAGUACGCAUCCACAUACAUCCACUCAUUUCCAUCUCCAGAUUCACCCAAAAUUAUUCUACUCCUAAUCCGGGAGAGAAUAGCAAAAAAUAUUUUCCUAUCCCUGUGAAAUAAAUGCUCCAGUUAUUUUGGUUACUACCACUUGCUAUAUUAUUUCAGGAGAUGAGUGCUCAAAAAAAAGAGAGAAAAAAAAUAAUACGAGGAAAUAAAAAGGGGCAAGUGCCCGGAACCUCGAAGAAAAGAAAAAGUGAGACGAGAGGUAAAAAUGGACAAGUGUCCGACAGUAGAAUUAGGGGUACAAGAUACCCACCUGAGAGAAAAGAAAAAGAAAAUAUAGAGCAUCUCAUUCCCCUCAAAAAGCUUCAAAGUGCAAGAAAGGUAUGUAUCCCCUCAAAAGAGCAAAAAUAGAAUUAGACUUUCACCAUUGUUAUCACCAUCAUCACCAUACACCAUUCAUUCGCCACACAUGCACAUCUUGAUUUAACUUAUUGACUUGUUUCUCUGGAUCCAUGGUUUGACUAUGCAAUAAAUGUCUUGUAAGUAUGUAUUAGCUGUCUCCCACCUAUGAACUCCAGAUAUCAAAACCUUAUUAGAGUAGGGUGAGAGAGAAGGUAAUAUCACUAUGCAUUAUACCAAAAAUAUCACAUACUUUGAGAGAAGGCAUAUACCAUUACUGCCUUGGUAAGGAUCCAGAAAUACCACAAAAGAGAGAUUUGAGAGAAUCAUAUAAGGAAUCUCUGAGUUUUAUUUGAAAAUCUGCAAAAACUCCAGAGCUAUAGCUGAUCAAGAAUAAGAGACAUGGCGCUUGACUUGACCGUUCUAUCUUUUAACUGCUCAAGACACAAGUGACAGUUACAAGCCCCAUGGUGAAAGGUAAAAUGAGUAAGUUUUAAGUCUUAACAGUUUAUUCUAACUCAUAGAUGAGAUCUUGUUUGAAUGCGUGUGUACUUUUAAGGCAUGAAACCACUGCAGAAACUUUUGAGUUCAUCCUUGCUCAGGGACGAGCAAGAGGUAAGCUUGGGGGAGUUGUUGACGGUCCUUAAGUACCAAAUAUAAUCAUCAAAUAAAUAAAGAAAAGGAUCCAAAUGCAACCAAUACCUAGACUUAGGGUUUUAUCUGACAGAAUUCCACGAGUUUUGGUGUUUGUCUAUUUCUGCAGGGGGUUAUCAGGAAAUAAGGAAGAAAGGCCCACAUGUCGGGAUUACAUAGAGAUAUCAACGCACUGCACAAUUUUCUACCAUCUAGAAGACUCCAGAAGCCACGGAAAGAAAGCAGAGGCCGAAAGGGGCCAGGCCCAGGGCGCCCGCCCUGUCCUGGACUCCGUUCAGGACUCUCUUCGCACACGAUGUUCCACCGACCUAAAGGAUCAAGGAUAACGUAGUACCACAUCGUCUACCGACCCAAAAACGCAUAGAGGAGGAGGACUAUAUAAGGAGACCCCCUGGCCCCUGGAGAAGAAAAGAAGUUAUCAUAGAGAUUGAGGGGUGCCCUCGAAGGAAAACCUCUUCUCUAAAUAAUAUUUCUUUUUAGGCUUAGCAACCAAUGUAAGUAGAAAUAGAUCUUCUAGUUACUACUAGAUUGAGAGAGAUAGAGUGAAGGUGUAGAUCGGAGGAAGGCCGGCCUGUCGGUGUCUACUCCGAGUUGUACCUGCGGGAUCAAGUUUUCUAACCCGAGGCUUGCUUCUAAGAUUCUUCAGUAAUUCGACUUCUAAUUCUAGUAAGUUCUUAUUUUAUUGUUCUUUGGUUUAUGAGUUUACUUUAAUCCUCUUCCGGUUGAGUAUUAGAGUAAUCAUUGCUAGCGUAAACGUGGUGUUUAGGCUAGGGUACUCAUAGAUAUCCCCUGACUAGCUGGACCGUGGUAGUAGCGAGGAACGUGACAUUUCCGAGUUACCUUUGUAUCCCAUAUCUUGUUAGCAGGAUGGGUAGGGUUUAUAGGUGCGGGUCGAACAUCCUUUGUGGUGUCUAGAUUCUGUAAGCUUCCCCAAUAGAACAGUAGAUCAUCCUUACCAAGGUUAGAACGAGACUACGGUUGCAGUCUUCUCUAUACAUCACUCACAUCGAGAAACAUUCUUUGUACCCUAAAGGGAUAGUAGCAAUAGAUUUGGUUAGUCAGAUGCACCCUUUCUUCCAGUGGUAAAAAUAUAAAUACGAUACUCUGGAAAACCUCCUGGGUGAAAUGCUCACCGAUAUCCAUGCGCUUGCGGAUCAUUUCCUUAUUGCGUUACCAAAUAUCAACAGCCAUGACUCGAUCGAGUAAACAUGCAUGACGGCCAAGGAGCGGGAGGGACACCUUUGGUAAUUGCAUAAGGUGCCUAUUGCAGCAGUUGCAAUUUUUAGCAGUGGUGUAUUAGUCUUAAUGACAUUCCAAGAACGGAUGACAAGCAGUGAUCUGGCUAGAGUAAACAUAUAUGACAGCCAGUUUUAGGAGACCUACAUUAAUUAUGGUGUAAACUAUAUGGGACUGGCCGGUGGGGCCUAGUGAAGGUUCCUCUAUCUCGUGCUAAGAUUAACACUAUCUCUAAAUAGACCAAAACGAAAUCCAAGUCACCUAGAGUACCAUCGAGUGCGUCUAAAAUAAUUUCUAAGUAUAUAUUCAGCAAAAAUUAUAUAUAUACCUAUUUUAAGUCAAGAUUAUUAACCUGUGCCCAACCAGCUAUGAGCAUGAGAGGGGUCAAGUCCUGAUCGUCGUGGAGGGGCUGCUGAUACACCACAUUUGGCAUUUCCCUUUGGGCUAUAUCUACAUGCAUGUUGGGUUUAGUCCCUGCCAUUGCACGGUUGUGCAACCGUGCAGUAUCUAAACAAUAGACAAAUGUGGCUAGCGGGUGCGCAGCAGUGAAAUAACUUCAGAUACAUACGGGUUUAGUUAACUCGGGACACAUGCGGAUUUAGUUAACUCCAGAUACCUGCAGGUUUAGUAGUUUGAAAAAAGGUCAUUAUAUUUUACGUGCGCGGUUGGAUGUUUUGGAUGCAAUAGCAUCGCACUCUUUGCCAAAAUGGUGGUACGCGCAACCGUGAAAUAGCUUUAGAUACAUACGAGUUUAGUUAACUCGGAACACGUGCAGGUUUAGUUAACUCCAGAUACGUAUGGAUUUAGUAGUUUCAAAAAAGUUCAUUAUAUUUUACGUGCACGGUUGGAUGUUUUGGAUGCAAUAGCAUCACACUCCUUGCCAAAAUGGUGGUUGCGCAACCAUGAAAUAGCUUCAGAUACAUACUGGUUUAGUUAACUCAGGACACGUGCGUGUCAGUUUAGUUAACUCCAGAUACGUGCGGAUUUAGUAGUUUCGAAAAAGUUCAUUAUAUUCUACGUGUGCGGUUGGAUGUUUUGGAUGCAAUAGCAUCACACUCCUCACCAAAAUGGCGAUAGUAAAUAGAGACACAAGGGGCAAAAGUGUCACCGCUUCUACUUCCACGUGCAUUAUUAAGAAUAGUUGCUUUUUAUUCUUGAAUGAAGAUCUAUGUUACUAUGCAUGAUUAUAUGUAAUAAAAAACACACACAAGAUAGUUUCAUGUACAUUCAUGCAAUAGAGAAUCAUGGCGGCAUGUGUUUACGCACGUGCAUGAUAAUGAGAAAAUAUUGUUUCUAGAAUUAGAUGUUGAUGUCAACCGUUUUUGGCCAAAAAUCAGAUGGAUAACAACAGAUAUAUAAAUAUUACUGACUAUUAUAAAUUAUUACCAACAUAGCUUGAUAACUUCGGGAACUUCAUAAUCCUCAUUGAUAGGGUAGCCACGGUUGUAAUAAUAUUACUAUGAUGCAUGAUGUAACAAAAUUUCAACAUGAUGGUGAAGCAACCAUGUGUGUGCAUGAUAAUACCACUAUAACCAUAUAUGUGCAGUUACGACCUAUGGGCUUGGACAGCAAAUCCGAUCCCCAAGAAGGUCUGGCUGACCUUCACCAGCCGUGCAAAGAAUGCUGCCCUGGCAUCCAUAAUGAUGUCGGAGACACCACCGGAGCACUGGUAGCAUGGGAGCAAGCAUGGGGUCAUCAUCCACCUGAAAGAAAUCCACGACUACACCGUCUCCACCGUCGACAACAACGGCAAGUUCUCUCCCGGUAAGCGUUGACUCCCUGAGUGGCAUGUGGGUGUGAUUGAUGGUCACCAGGUCCCACCGCGAGCCUUCGACGAAUUCCCCCAUCAGCCGCCACCACCGCGUACCAGCGACAACGAACAUGGUGGCGGCAGCAAGGCAGCGCGACGCCACGAUAAUCGUGGCCCCAAGGGCAAGUACAACAACGACCACCCGGGCUAUGACUUCGGCGGCAAUCAUAGGCGUCGUCAUGACAACGACAACGACGACUACGAUGACCACGGCCAUGGGGGCCGUGGCGGUCGCAAACGCGGCCGUGACUACGGGGGCCGCUACAAUGAUGACGCCCCGGUGUACCAUGAGCGCUCCCGCUCACCCCGCAGGCGUGUGUGGGGACAGGGCGGGGGGCACAGGGCGCGCCAACAAGAUGAGUUCAAGACGCUGCAAGACCUCCCAGAAGUGCUGCCCCAGCUCAACUAACUGCAUAACUUGCAGAGCUGCAUGCUUCAGGACCUGUUCAAGGUUCAUGCUGCAGCACUGCAGGAUGCUGUCCAACACAUUAUCGGAUGGCAAGGAGAGGAAAAGGCAGCCCAAGGCUCCAUGGUAGCCAUACAAGCACUACUCAACGACUACAACACCAAGGCCUGCAUGCUGGCUGCUAGCCUGGGCCUCGUGGGGGCACCCCCAAUGGCUAACCAGAGCAAUGGCGGCUCUAGGAUUGGUGCCACUGGGAAUGAAGCCUCGUCCGCCACACUCAAGCAUGCUGCACCGAACACCACUGUUCCGAUGUCCGAUGUCUUCGCACGCCUCGUGUGGGACAUUCCGACAAAGAGUACAACAAUACCAAUCCUGCAUGCAGCUGUGGCGCCGAAGUGCUCCAUCACUGAAGUGGAUCAGGCUCUACAACUGCUACAGCUUCAACCGCCUGGGGCCGCUACACCUGCCGAGGCCACAGCAGAGCCUACCUCGCCAAUCGUCAACAUGCAGGCCGCGUGCUACCAGGCUAUCUUCGUAGGUCUGAAUGUUCAAAACACUAACAUUGCUCAAACUGAUGAACUCCCUCACAGUAACAGCCCUCCCAUGGGGGGACAAACUCCAUCAGGUGUUGCUGCUUUCUUCGCCAACGCGACGCCGCCGAUCAUCCAGAGCAAUCCCAUCCCGUUGAAGGCCCCGCCAGCAAUACAUCAACAUCGCAGGCGUCAGCGCCAAGUCUUCGACAUGUCAUCGGUACGCCGCAGUGCAUGCCUCGCCAAAAAUCGACCCAUGACACAGAUGCAGCAUGCACAACAGAACUUAUGCAGGAAGCUGGGGCUUUUGCAAGAUGAUCUCCAACCUGUUGAAAUUGCCUUGCAGGAAUUUGUCGCCAUGUUCAAUGGGCCACUGUCGGAUCAUGUGAUUGCGGCGCUCUCUGAGAUGUUCAACUUGGAGAAAGGCUCAGCAAUGGAGAUUGAUGAGGCCCUCAUCAAUCUGGCAGGAGAAGGAGUCGUUGACCUCCAAGAGGCAACGCUACAUGCUAAAACCUAAAGCAAACAGUAUGAUGGCUCAUGAGUUUUAACUCUGUUAUCAUUAUGCAUCCAGAUUUCAAACCUUCAUGGUCGCGACAUUUUUAUUCCAGCUCCUAUGAUGUACUACCUAAGGCAAGAUUGCUGCACCAACUGAAGACCUGUUGCACUGUUUUAUUCCGGCUACCACGGCCUAGUAAUUUUAUUCAACUCCAAACCGUCUUCCUCUUAUGUGCUCUGUGCAAGGCGAUUUUCAGCAGGCUUCAUGUUGUGCCUGUGACUGCUGCAUUUUACAACUCUCCUACACAUUACUGCAUACUGCUGCUUCUCCUCGCCUUCAUGCUGCUAUUUCCUGCACAUUUUUUUGUUUGGGCCGCCUGCAGAGUUUGUUGGGUUCACAAAUGAUAGGGCCAAACAUAGAUAUAUUAUGCUGGAACGUCUGUGGUUUGAAUCGCCAAGAUAGGAAGGAUGUUGUGCAUCAGACUUUGGCAACCACAAGGUGCCACAUUGCUUGCCUCCAAGAAUCAAAGCUGUCCUCUUUGGAUCAGCACACUGCAGCCUACCUAGGCGGUUUCCGUCUGCGUAUCUUUGUGUCUAAGCCUGCGACUGGCCUACUUGAAACGCGUGGAGGAAUCGUUGUUCUUUGGAAUGAAUACUACAUCACUUUAAGCAACUGUGUCACUGGAGAAUUCCAUCUCUCGGCUGACAUUGAAGUUAGGGAGUGCUUAACAAAGUUUAGACUAUCUGUUAUCUACGGGCCAACUAGAUACCGAGCACGUCAAAGGUUCCUAGAGGAACUAAAAGGAAUCAAGCUAGAGAACAAUACAUGGUGGCUAAUCCUUGGUGAUUUCAAUUUAAUUUGCAAGAUAAGAACAAUAUAAGGCUAAAUCUUAGUCUAAUGCGACAAUUCCGCGAGGCCCUGAAUGAGUGUGAACUUCAGGAGAUACACCUCCAAAAUCGUAAAUUCACAUGGAGCAAUGAAAGGCGCCAACCAACAUUGAUGAAACUAGAUAGAUUUCUCUGCAAUGCCGAGUGGGACUCAGCAUUCCCCUUGCAUGUCCUUCAUGCCCUAUCCACCUCUCUAUCCGAUCAUGCUCCACUCCUGCUCUCCAACCAAAGUGGCCCACGACGGCCAAGGACAUUUCGCUUCGAAAAUUUCUGGGUUAAACUCUCAGCUUUCAAAGACGUGGUAAUGAAGGUAUGGGAGGAACACACAGAUCAUCAUGAGCCUUUCCGCGUCCUAUACAACAAGUUGCGCGUCACAGCACAACACUUGAAAAAAUGGAGCAAUGGAAUUUGCUCAGAUGCUAAAAUGAAACUACAUAUGGCACUAGAAGUCAUCUUACGUUUAGAUGUUGCACAAGAAAAUAGAAGCUUAUCAUUGGCAAAAUUCAACCUCAGAGCAAAGCUUAAAAGACGGGUUCUCGGCUUGGCAGUCAUUGAAAUAGCUAGAACUAGGCAAGCAUCGCGUGUGACCAACAUCAAAUUGGGCGAUGCUAACACAAAAUAUUUUCAUCGAAGAGUAAACGCGAGAAGAAGGAAGAACCACAUCCAGAGGUUACGGAAAGACCAAGGAUGGGCGGUCUCACAUGAGGAAAAAUCCACAGUGGUUCAUGAGCAUUUCCAAAAAAUUAUGAACCGGCCGCCGCAAAGGCAAAUUGAUCUAAAUUGGGAGUGUCUACAAAUUUCACCACAUAAUCUUGACAUGCUUGCCGACAACUUUACAGAAACUGAGAUCAAGUGUGCCAUCAACCAGAUGUCUUCCGAUAAGGCGCCCUGUCCGGAUGGCUUUACGGGCCUUUUUUUCAAAGAAUGUUGGGACAUUAUCAAGGUGGAUGUCAUGAACGCAGCCAAUGCUUUCCAUCAGCUGCGCACCUCCAAUUUAGCCAUUCUCAACACAACGAAUGUCGUGUUCAUUCCAAAAAAGGAUGGGGCUGAGGCGGUCUCAGACUUUAGGCCCAUAAGCUUAAUUCACUCCUUCGCAAAGAUCAUCGCAAAGGUUAUGGCAAUGUGCCUAGCGCCCCACAUGAAUAGAUUGAUCUCCAAGAGUUAGAGCGCCUUCAUUAAAAAAAGAAGCAUCCACGACAACUUCAUGUCAGUUCGAUGUGUUGUGCGUCGAUUCCAUAGAGCCAAGACCCCUGCCCUGUUUUUCAAGCUUGACAUUUCAAAAGCUUUUGACUCGAUCCGCUGGGAAUACCUACUCACUUUAAUGAGCAAGUUCGGCUUCCCCCCAAAAUGGAGGGAGUGGGUGGCUGCCCUAUUAUCAAUGUCAUCUUCCUGAAUCCUUCUGAAUGGUGUCCCUAAUGCGCCUAUUAAACACGGUAGAGGAGUUCGCUAGGGGGAUCCUCUGUCACCGUUGCUUUUUGUCAUUGCAAUCGACCCUCUGCAGAAGCUCUUGCAACAGAAGAAGGACUUUUGAAAAAAAUUCAAGGGAAAACAUUCUGUAAUGCGGACAUCCAUGUAUGCAAAUGACACUGCAAUCUUCAUCAAGCCAAAUAAGAAGGAUGUCACUACAAUCACCGAUAUUCUCACCAAGUUUGGUGAAGUAACAGGUUUCAAAACAAAAUUUGGGAAGUCGCUUGUCAUCCCCAUAAGAUGUCAAGGUGUUGAUCUUGAUGAGGUACUAUGUGCUUUCCGUGCUAGACGAGCGCACUUCCCAACUAAAUACCUAGGUCUACCCUUAUCAAACACCAGACUACGGAGGAUCGAUUUUCAGCCUCUUGUUGAUAAAGCUGUGAGUAAGCUCACUGUGUGAAAUGGCAAAAAUAUUAAUCAUGCAGGAAGGUCCACUUUGGUCAAAGCGGUACUCACCUCACAAUCGGUGUAUUGCCUCACAUCACUAAGAGCUCAUAAAUCCACACUGAAGGAGAUUGACAACCUCAUAAAGAGCUUCCUUUGGGCUGGGUCCGAGAAGCUAAUCGGAGGGAAAUGCAAAGUGAAUUGGCCACAUUCCACAAGGCCAAGUGAAUCUGGGGGUCUAGGCAUUCUUCAUCUUGGAAAGUUUGCAAGAGCACUAUGUCUUCGAUGGCUAUGGAAAGAUUGGGAGGGGGAAGGAACGAUCCUGAACAACCCAGACUCGCCAUGUGACACUAUCAAUAGGCUACUUUUCGCUGCAGCAACUUCAAUCACAAUUGGUGAUGGCAUGAGAGCUUCUUUCUAGAGCAGCGUAUGGCUGCAAGGCCAGAGGCCACAAGAUAUAGCACCAAAUAUUUUUCAGAUCUCAAAAAACAAAAACAAGUCAAUCUACGAGGGCAUGCAAAAUAAAGCGAGGAUUAGGGACAUAGAUCUGCGGCAUAUAUACAAGAUUUAGUCCCCAGCGCUUCAUGGAAUAUGUCCAACUUUGGAACGCUCUCAGCCACAUCGAGCUACAUCCGGACCGGGAGGACAACAUUAUUUGGAAAUUUAACCCGAAUGGAAAAUUCACAACGGGAUCGGCCUACCAUGCGCAAUUCAUUGGAGCAACGGUGACAAAUUUCAAUUGCCUCAUCUAAAAAGUUUGGCCACCACCAAAGUGCAAUUUUUUUGCAUAGCUAGCCAUCCAAAAUAGGAUAUGGACGGCGGAUAGGCUUCAGGCGCGCAGAUGGGCAAACAAUGGAGUGUGUGCCUUAUGCAGGCAUAGUCAAGAAUCUGGCGUCCACCUAUUUCAAGACUACUGCUAUACUAGGCAUAUCUGGGAGGGCAUUGCAAUAUGGUUAGGUAAUGAACAGCUGCGUCCUUCCACCUGGGUGCCAGCAGACUCUGUACAAAGUUGGUGGGACAACAUGGAUCACACACCUUCGAUGGCGAGGCGAGGCCUUCGUUCGAUCAUCAUGCUCGUUUGUUGGGAGAUCUGGAAAGAAAGAAAUGCACGAAUCUUUGAGCACAAGGAAUCUGCGAUAGCGCAACUCCUCCCGAAAAUCAAGGAUGAGGCAAGAGUGUGGGCAAUGGCGGGUGCAAAGCACGUUUCUAACUUAUUUUUGCGCUUUUGAUGUAAACUGUUCCUAAGGCGAGAUUUUGGAGUUGUAGCCUUUUUUAGGAUCUUUUCUUUAUAUGGUUGUACAGUGCCUGUCUAGGCUCUUUCUCUUUAAUACAAUAGGCAGCUCUCCUGCCGGUUUUGUUUCAAAAAAAAACAACAACCCUGUGAGAUGACCAUUGAUACAACCAUGGAUCCAUUUAUGGAGGGUGAGUUGAAAUUAAGGGCAAUUUAGUGUUACAUAAACACAAUUGUAAAGUGGUUACUAACUAAAGUUUCACACAAUUGCUAAUUCAAUGCAAUAGAGAGUAAAGACUAAAGAAAAGAACAUAUGAGGCUAAUUAAGAGACAAAAGUUGGUGUGUUUCUUGAAACAAAAUAAUUUAUGCAUGAUGUCAUCUAGAUGUGAAGAAGUAACUAGUGGAACUUAACAAACAAAAGGGGGGAGGAGCCCAGUUUUGCCUCUAGGAGGCUCCAUCCCUACAUGGAUCUACCACCAUCACAUGCCAAAACAUGUGUACCUGCAUGACUGUUAAAAAAGAUAAUUUUUUCGAAUAGAUGUUGAUGUACAUCAUUUUCCUUUUUUCAUUUUUUUUAACAAAAUCUUGAAUGGUUUACAACAGAAGCUCCUUGAUCAUAUAUGUGGUUAUAGUUGUAAGAGAAUGAUCCUUAUUAGGAUCAAAAUCUAAAAUGAACAUACAUCAUAAUUCUUGUUUACUAAGAACAGUUGUGACAAUCUUUUUUCCUUGGAGUGCCCAAGUGAGGCUGACAUUCUUGAACCAAACACCAUCCCUAGAUGAAGUGUCUCCUCUCCGUUCGUAAAUAGAGUAGAUAAUCGAAUUUCCACAACCAACGGAAAGAUUUAAGCAAAGAAUUGUUAUAGUGCACAUCUCGACAACUUAAUUAGCCUGAUACAACUUCAGUUGAAGUUAUACAGAUGAAGCAAAAGCACAAUUAAAUAAGUAGGUCCAAUCCAGUUCCUAUGUUUUAGUACAAUGAGUGUUGUGGGGAGAAGUGUGGUUAAAACAACCAUAAUAAAAUGUACCAAUUGACUAAGAAGCCUAUAAGCUAUACGAAACAGAGCACUUAAGCCUACAGAUCACGACUCACUAAUAAGUAAAUAUUUCAACCACUAAAUUUUUAAUAUAGUUUUGAUUUAGAAUAAAACUUAUUAUUAUUAGGACUUGGAUCAUUCAAUGGUCCAACUAAUUAAACCGUGAACUGAAACCUUGAGCAGUUUGUCAUCCAAUCCAAUCAAAAUAAAUCUAUCUGGAAGUUGUUAUAUACCAGUGUAAUCCUCGACGAGGGCUACCAUGUUGAAAUUAAGAGAAGUCUCUAUCAUAAUCAUCAAAUAUAGACCAAUGCUUUACACAACGACAACCAACUCCUUACUGAUUUUAAUUCAACACUAGAAUUACAUAUGUUUAUUGGUCUUCAGAACAUUCCUAUACUUAUUUUAAAAUUAACAUUUGAUAGCUUUUUUCUCCUCCGUUUUAACGCACGAGUAUCUUUGCUAGUGUAUGAAAAAAAUGGAGGGAAUUUUAGAGCGUGUCAUGCAUGGACAUCUUGCUCCUGCAGUACGGCACCAGGAAAAGGCAUAGCCCUGUCCUUGGAACAACCCAUAAGACUUGAGGCAAAUAUGAAAAAAAAUGCAGGAAAAACGAAUUUGAGAAGCAAAAAUAGAUUUAAAAAAGUUGUAUCGAUAUUAUGCUAAUUAAUUACUGCCCCACUCUAUCCUGAAAAGAACAUAAUUUUCUAAUGCAGGGCUUGUUUAGUUUGUGAAAAGAAAAGUUUUUGGGUACUAUAGCACAUUUGUAAUUAUAACAAUUAUAGUGUCCAAUCAUAAACUAAUUAGGCUUAAAAGAUUCAUCUUGCAAAAUAUAUGCAAACUGUGUAAUUAGUUAUUUUUAUAAUCUAAAUUUAAUACUCAAAACAUUCGAUGUGAUGGGGCAAAAAGUUUUGGGUGAGAACUAAACAUGGUCAUAGUACUGAGUUUAAUAAUUUUAUAUUUAGACAAUACUCUGUGUGUCACUGAAACAGAUGAUUGAUCUAUUUGUACUAUUCAAAAGUUUAGUGUGACUCCUAUACUAAAUUUACUUCACUCUGAUGCCACUUCCAUCAAGUGAGUGCUAACUCAUUAGUUGACACUUCUAGUGAUCGAGUGGCGCAUAGGGAAUUUUGAAAAAAAAAACAAAUGUCGGAUGUACAAAUUUUUAUUGAACAUUUUUUAUUCUAAACAAUAUUAAACAAAGAAAAUUUCUUAGUGAAAGAGAACAAAUGGGGGAAUUUAUCUUUGAGGGGCUGGUCUAUCCAAGAGUCUGACCAAAAUGGGGGAAUUUAUGUUACCCUUAAGUUUUAGAUAGUAAACUCCUAAACUUUGAAUUUCCUUCCACCAAAAAGACCUAACAGAGCUUCUGGCUUAAGGUGGAGUUUGUGUAUUGGACUAGAAUUUGGACCAAGUUAAAGUCACCCAUGGUACAUGUGCAUAGUUAAAACAUUUGUCUAGAAAUUUCAUUAGUAAUGCUUCAUUGACUUUUGGUAUCAAUUAUGCCCCCUAGCUUCCCUGGGAUUUUUGUUUGCGGAUUGUUUCCAAUGCAGCAAGAUAUGAACCUCUUCUAUUAAUAUAAUCUUUGCUCCACAGACAGUGCUUUUUAAAAACAUCUAUUUGCUUAAUGACUUGACAAGGAAUUUUGAGGCUACACAUAUAAAAUGUUGGCAGUGCUGAAAAAUCUGAAUUGACUAAUGUUGGCAGUGCUGAAAAAUCUGAAUUGACUAGUGUAAAUCUUCCAUUAUAAGCCAAGAAUUUACUGAUCAUACCAGAAAGCCGUCUUUCAAUCCUUGACAGUAGGGGUGGUGUGAAUUCAAGCAGGGAGGGUUUGGUAGUCCCAAGAGGGAGACCCAGGUAAGUGAAUGGCAUGCUACCAACCUUACAUCCAAAGGUGUUGGCCAGGUGAGAGGCUCUGUUAUCAUCUAUGUUACUUGGCACCAAAAAGGAUUUGUUAAAGUUAACAUGAAGCCCACAGUAGAAUCUGAGAAGGAGAGGCCCUUGUUAAAAAGAACUCUUGCAUCCCCUUGUAAGAUGAGUAAUGUGUCAUCAGCAUACUGAAUAAUAGGGUAAUCUCCCUGAAAAUUAUCACUGAUAGAAGUUGAAAAACAACUUUGUGAAGCUAAUGCAAAAACGAUACAGGUUGCAACUAGCUUUUUUUUUCCUAGGGGGUGCUCCCAUCCUCACAGCUGCAGUGCAUCCAUUGCUUUCUCCUGCAGUAUAUGUAUAUCCACCCUCAUGCGCUGGUUUUAGGACGGGACAUGUAGAAGCAGAUUUAGGCUCCUUUUAGAGCACAGAACUUUUUUGGUUCCAUGAAAAUAAAUUGAUUUGUGUGAAAAUUCUGUAUGAUUACUGUGGAAUUCAUGUAUUCCAAAUGGGCCCUUAACUUUUCCGCGUCCUACAGAGUUGGUCAUAGAAAUCAGUUGAAGAAACCAUGGAAACUGAAAAAUCAUUGCCAAAGAAACCACACACACGCAGCAGAAGAUCGAUCGACAUUGCUUAACUAUAACUGAUACUUUCAUUAGCUUUAAUCCAACUGCCUGGCAAUCCAUGAUUACAUGAAGACAAGCCUUUCCAUUGCCAUGUCUGUUUCCUUUUUCAUUUCUUGCAAAGAUAAAAAAAAGAAGAAGAAGAGAAAACAAAGAUGGGAAAUAAAGGAUAACUGAUCGAUGACGAGAUACUAGAUGUAUAGUAAUAAUAAGAUAGGCUAAAGUUAAACGCCAGCAAUAAUCUUGCUGAUGUUAAACUACGACCACGCUGAGUGCCUGAGUCCCUUAAAAAGAUAGCUUUCCAAUCAGCUCACACGCACAUCGUCUUUGUUGUGGUUGCAGCAGCUCGAUCGGUGAGCUCAAGCGCGGUCCUUGCGGGUCUCCGCGUUCCCCAGGGUGAGCUCCAGGCCCUCCUCCUCGUCGGGGUUCUUCUCAGUCAUGAUCACCUCCUCCUCCCUCGCACCCGCCGCCGCCUGCUCCCCGCUGCUCCUGCGGAAAUAGAACCCGAGAGGGGACAAAAGCGCGCCACCGCGGCCGGACGCCACGAAGGCCGGUGCCUUGUUGGCCGCCAGCAGGGUCACCGGGUCGGGGACAGGCCGGCUCAUCAUCAGCGGCGUGGUGGUGGACCACGAAGGCGGCAGCACGUCGUUGUUGGGGUCCCUCGUCGGGCUCGGUGGUGGGGUGGCGGGUGGCGGGGAGGAGUAGCGCGCCUUCUUGCGGAGGCGCGGCGGGGACGAGGGCGGGGAGCCGUCCGGCGCCUUGGAGUUGGAGGAGCUCGCGAAGAAGUUGGGGUACGAGUUGUCGCUGAGCUGCUUGGACAGGUUCUUGAGCCACGCCGGAACGGGGUCGGCUCCGCCGCUGCCCCCGCCGCCGAGCGCGAUGCCGGAGGGUGACGACGGCCGGGUCAGACUGUUGGAAGCUCCGCCUGGUGGGUUCACCGGAGCAGACGACCCGCCAACGUCGGCCAUAUGCUGAUCAUCACCUGCCGGAGGCUUGGGUCCCUGAAGAAACACAAAUCGAAUUAGAGCCGAGAGGGCAUCAACGAACAACGAUAGACUAACGCAAAAAAUGUGCAAUCGAUCGACGACAGUUUUUCUUUCCCUGCACAUCCGUUAUUCCGUUUAUACUCGACAGUACGACUAACGAGGACUGAAGCAGCAGCUAGCAUCAGACCAAAGCAAGAGCCGUGGCUGCAGUGCACACAGUACACAGCCACGCAAGAGCAAGACAAGAGCAGGAAGCUCAUCCAGAUCCAAUCUUGUUGGAAAGGACGAGCAACUGAAAUUAAAACAAAACAAAUUUUGGACUUUUGCUACAAAACGAAGCGCGGCCGCGCAAAAGAUGGUCGAUCGGCUUGCAACUGUCGACGAUCGAUACUACACACGCAGCUCGAUCCGGAAAGCGAAGCAAUGCGCAGGACACGACGACAAAGAACGAGAACCAACGGAAACGAAACAACAAUGGAAACAUGGCGGCGGCGGCGAGCUCCAUCGGAACAGCUAGCGAGAAAGAGUGAUGAGUACCUUGCGGUAGGUGGUGCCGCCGUCCGCGACGAUCCUCGACACGAUCGCCCGGCGACGGCGCUCCCGGCGGCGGUUGUUCUCCGCCUUCUUCCCGUUGCCACUCCCGUUCCCGUUCUCGUCCCCUGCCCUAGCCCAUGCGUCGUCGCCACCCCCACUCCCUCCCGCUCCAACUCCCUUGGUCACCAUGCCUCUUCUCCACUCAGAGAGCUCACUCGCUCAACUUGUGAGUUUGUGAGGACGAAGCUGCUGCGGUGGUGGUGCAUCGAUCGGCUGCCAGUGCCACCUUUAUAGGCCGCCACUGGCAACUGACAGGACAGUGAUUUUCCCAUUAUGCCCAUGCUCAGGUACACAUGACGGCAAAGGACCCGGAGGGGCACCUUUGGUAAUUGCAUAAGGUACCUAUUCAGCAGUGGCAAUUUUUAGGGAAUGGUGUAUUAGCCUUAAUGACCUGCCAAGAAUGGAUGACAAGGAAUGUGGUCUCUAGUUAGAGUAAACAUAGAUUAUUGCUAGUUUAUUAGGAGAGCAUUCAUUAUGGUCUAAACUAUAUGAGGACGGCCGGUGGGGCCAAGUGAAACAAGAACUGGUGCUAAACAAGCCCUGAGCAUGGAAAGGGGCCACGUCUGGACCAGCCGAUCGUCAUAGAGCGGGUGCUGAUGCACCAGCACCACAUCUGGUCUUUUCCAUUGGGUUAUGUUGGGUUUAUUCCUUGUAGUUACUCCGGGUUCGUGCGGGUUUGGUUCGGUAAAAAAUCAUUAUAAUUUACGUGCACGAUUGGAUGUUUUUCCGACACAACGGUAGCAACGGAGACUCGAGGGACAAAAAUGUCACCACUUCUACUUUGACAUGGAGUUAUCGAACAUAAUUGCUUUUUAGUAUUCAACGAAAAUCUACAUUACUACCAACGGUUACAUGUAAUACAAAACACACACGAGCACGACGGUUUCAUGUACAUUCAUGGGAUAGAGAAUAAUGGCGGCACGUGUGUAUUAUAUUAUAUAAUGCGAAAAAGACGAUUGUUUCUAGAAUUAGAUGAUGUCAACCAUUUUUGGCAAGAGUCAGAUGGUUUACAAUGCAUUCUCAGCUCCUUGACUAUAGUUGUUCUUAUAGUUGUAAUGAAUUAUGCUUCAUCGUCAUAGAAAUGUUAAGGACCAUUUAUGUAAUCAUGAAGCUACCAUCGCACAUUCCCAACAAUGAACUACAACCAUCUAUGUCAUAUCAAAGACAUUUUAGAAAACAGCUCAAUUAUAUUACCAUUUCUACAACUCAAUAUGUUAAAAUAGCAUUGUACAUAUACAUCAGGGGCCUCUAUAAGUUACUACUAGAAUAGCUUGAUAAUUUUGGGAACAUUAUAAUUCUCAUCGACAAGGUAGCCACAGUUGCAAUAAUAUUAUUGUGAUACAUCAUGUAACAAAUUUUAACAUGAUUAUUGUGGAGCAACCAUGUGUGUGUGUGUGUGCAUGAUAAUACAACUGCAUGCAUAUAUGUGCAAUUAUAAUGACAACUCUUGUGAGAUGAACACUGAUACAACCAUGGAUCUACCACCAUCACAUGCCAAAUAAUGUGUGUAGGCACACGCAUGAUUGUAGAAAAAGAUAGUUUCCUCGAGUAGAUGUUGAUCUAUACCUUUUUUUGCCUUUUGUCUUUCCUUUUUUACAAUGUCUUGAAUGGUUUACAACACAAGCACCUGAAGAAUAUAUGUGGUUAUAGUUGUAAGGGAAUGAUCCUCAGGAUCAAAAUCUAAAUGAACAUUUGUGCAACCAUGAAUCUACCAUAAAAUGCACAGCAGAUGAGCUAGUAAAAGCAUCUAUGCCAUCUCAAGGAUUACUAACCUUUGUGCAAAUUGUUAAGUUGGCAAACCAUUGUAUCACAAUCCAAAAUAAGGUAUUACCAGCAUGUCUUGAAAAAACUGUAGACACAUCAUAAUUCUUGUUUACUAACAACAAAUGUAACAAUCUUUUUCCUUAGAGUGACCAAGCGAGGCUGACAUUCUAGAACCAAACACCACCCCUAAUGAAGUGUCCCUCACCAUUCACAAAGAGAGGUACAUCGUCAAAUUUCCACAUAGAGGGGAGGAGGGAUUUAAUUGAAGCAAAAAAUGUUAUCGCCUACAUCUCAACAACUUAUUAACUCGAUACAAAUGUUGACAUAUUUUAGUAAUGGAUCAUGAAGAUGAAAAUCACCGUUAUUUUUUAGACAAGCACCAUAAUUUCAAUGUGCAAAGCUAUAUCAAUCCUUUUGAACUUCUGACUGUUAGAUCAAUUUUUUGAACCCAAACGGCCAAACAAUUCGAUUACCCUUGGUUUCAGUCAAACUAAGUCGUCCCCUUUUCCUCUAGUGCAAGUGGUUCACUCUACCCAAAAAUCACAAGCCAAGUGUUUUUUUAACCAAAAACACACCCCAGUUAUUUUAGCGCACUAUUAUUUGCUUCCUCGGAUUUACUAGAGUAAAAUUAGUAGCAUUUAAUGUACUGCCAAAAUAUUUCUGCUUGCUUAAUUACUGUUUGCUGUACCUCUAGUGCAUUGUUUGGAAUUCUUUUGAUUCAAAGUAGAGUGCACAAUUAAACACUGCUAUAAAGAUACAUAAGAAAAGAGUACAAUUAAUAGUCUUUGCUUAACCAGGGGUGGUUCUAUUUGAGAAAUUGAGUGAUGGCGAUGCACUAUUUAAUAUGGAUUUAUUAAAUAAACAAAAAACAAAAAUGAAUAAAUAUAAAGAAAAUUUGAUGUCAUGGUAAAGAAAAUUAAAUAAGAGAGAUGAAACACCAUGGGCUCUUUUUGCAAGUCUGAAUGUGUCAUACAAUGAAAUGCAAUGAGACCAUUUGAAACACAAAAUUAAAACAAUGCAUUGUCAAAGUUGUUUCAAUCAUGAAAGCAAAUCCUAUUUACUGACGUGACAUACCUUACAACAAAAUAAAACUGUGCUUUGAGAUUUAGCAUGUCUUCAAUAUAAUUCAAAAGAGAGAGUGCAAUUAAACAUCACCAAAAUAAAAAGGAAGUACAAUAUGAGUCACUCGCGAGACGGUUACAAAUUUUACCAAGGGCACUGAAGUACGUAUAUACUAAAUUCAAAUAUAUAUAUAUAUAUAUAGGAAUUUUAUUUCACACAACAAAAGACAAAAAUAAUGGUUUUUUUCCAAAAAAAAAGCUAAUAUAUAUAUGAUCUGGAUGUGUAUAUGUAGACCAAAUAUAUGCAUCGUGUAAUACUAAAGCAUAAGUUAUUGUCAAAUAUUUCCAUUUGAUUAUUAUUACUGCUACUACUAAGUUACUGCAAUUUUAGCAUGGUUUCAAGCAUGUUCGCUGCUGAUUUGUUGCGAGAGAAAACACUACUGAACAGGCUCAAUAUAUGACCAUGUUUGCUUGAACUUAUCUGCUGAAUCUGUCAGCCAUACAACAGUAUUUUUCUCUCACAACAAAUCAGUGAAUAGUACUUCCAGUCAUGGCUUUAUAGUAUACCAGAGAGAGUGCGAUUAAGGCCCGCUAAAGACAGGGAAAGUACAAUUAAUAGGAUUGCUUAGCCUAGGAGGCGCUUUUAGUUCUAUAUGUGUACAUGUGAAAAUUGAGUGAACUAGCACACUCCGGUGCUGAUGAUGAUAACCACAGAAAAAAUUCUUCAAAUUAUAAGACGAACACGCUCUGCUUCGCUCCGGCCCAAGCCUCUGGCGACGGGCCUCCGCUUCGCUCCGUCAGAAGCGGCCUUUAUAAUGUGCAACUUAAUUUAGAAACAUAUUUAACAAAUUUCCUGUAUUUUACGACAAAUACCGGCAGGAAAAUAAUGUACCCGACAGAAAAACACAUACAUUUCCUGUGUGUUUUUUAUUUUCCUGUCGGUAACGUGUACACCGACAGGUAAUUAGACAUUUUUUUGUCGGAUUACUAAUUUUUUUUAUCGGUUGUAUAAACCCGACACGAUAAUUGUAGUUUUUCUGUCGGUCUUGUUUAUACCGACAGGAAAUUUUUAGUUUCCAGUAGUGAGAGAUAGUAGACAGGUAAUCGUGGCAUGUGCCGAUGUGUGCUUGUGGCUUUUUUUUAAAACGAAUCAUGCAGAUCUGCUGAUUAUACUAAAAAGCCGAUAAGUUUAAAAUGAGAAAUAAAAAAACAAUACAACUACGGUUGGUUGGAGGUCCACUUGUGUGACCUACUAUGACAUUUUGGAUGGUCAUGUUGUUCGUGCCAGCAGCCAGCUAUAUAUCAUGGUGCAUGACACAGCUCUCGCUCGGCAGAGAGCCAUCGGCGGCCUGGUCCACCCGCUGCGUACAUAUAGAUUUCCAUAUGGCCCGUGGCCUGUUCGCAUGGCCCAUGGCCCGAGGUUUUGGCCCGGCAUGGGCACGGCCUGGCCCGGUGAUCGACGAGCCCGUGCCGACAUGGCCCGAGGCACCAGGACGUGCCUAGGCCACGACCUCAGCCCAUGGCACGGCACGAGCACAGCCCGGUGAAAGGGGCGGCCCGGUAGGAGGCCCAAUGCAUAUAUAUGUUGUCGGUGCCCACCCCCAAACCCUAAAAUCAUUCCCCCCUACCCAGUCGCCUCUCUCGAUCUCGUCUCUCACUCUCUCGCCCAAACCCUAGAGUCUUCUCGUCUUCUCGAUCCACCGCUCGUUGACCCGCCGCUCGCCUCGGAGGCUCGGAUGCCGACCGUCCGUCCAUCCCUUGCUCCGGUGACCUUGUCGCAGCUCCACCUUGCCGCCUAACGGCCUGAGACCCUGAGUUCCCUAACCCUCUCCUCCCUCCUUUCCCCCCUCCACUCUCUCUUUCCUCAUCUGGUGAAGCAUGUGAGCUCGUGUCCAUCUUCCUCGCUCCACCGCCGCUCGCCGUCAUCUCUAAUGGAUGUUUGUCUGUCUUGUGUCUCAUCUUGACUCGUGGGCCGCUUCUACUCUGGCACCGGGCUUCGGUAACACAGGUACGUAACCCUAGAUGACUAGAUCUACUCCGUCUCUCACUCUCUCAGUCUCUGUUCUCAACUCCUCAUCUUUUUCUUUCAAUGUUUGUAGGUUCGUGCCUGACACCACAUCCUCCUCUAGAGUGGACAUGGCCAGGUUGGCAAAGCGCCCAUUGAGGGGCGGUGCAGGAGGUCUGGUGGCUCUAGGUCAUCCUCAGCCAUCCACGUCCAGUGGUGCUGGUGCUAGGCUCACAACACAGGGGGCGGAUCUGCAUCCCCCUCGGCGAUGGCGAGGUCCUUGUGCCGCACCCGAACGAGCUCGAGGACUUGGAACUGGAACGCAGGAUGGUGACGACUUGCAUGAUGACACGAGAGGGUUGUUCGGCAUCGACCUCGGUGACCAACCUGUUGGCACCCAACAGCAGCCCAUCGACCUCGAUGGCGAUGACAUGGAUGGUGGAGUGGCUACCUCCACUAAUACUCGUGGUACCUCAACCACUGUCACUGGUAAGCUAGUUUCUAUUGUUUGGCAGUACUUCGAUGAGAUCAAUGAUGAGACCGGGUUGAGAACCGGUGCCAUAUGCAAACAUUAUCGUUCAUGUUAUACUGCUAGAUCCUCUGGUGGCACUGGGCAUUUGAGGCGGCACAUGAAAAGCUAUAUGGAAAAACAAAAACAUGCAACUAUGGUUCAGUCUAAACUUGCUCUUAAUCCUGAUGGCUUGAAAAAUUGGGUGUAUGAUCCUGUUGUUGCUCGCAGUUAGUUAUGCAGGCUGGUAGCUAAGCUAGACCUUCCCUUAGGCAUUGGUGAUACACAGGCCUAGGAAGAUUACAUUAAAAGUGCUCAUAACUCUUUGUUUGGUAAGGUUUCUUGGCAGACCACUACUGGAGAUCUUGGUAGGUUGUUUGUUGAUGAACAUUCUAUGCUUAUGAAGUCUAUGUUGCCUGCUUGUUCAUCUGUGUCUUUGACAUCUGAUAUUUGGUCUGGUAAUGCUAAAAAGAUUACAUAUCUAUUGUUGCUCAUUAUGUUAGUGUUGAUUGGAAGUUGUAGAAGAAGGUUGUUGGUUUUAGGUUGAUUGAAGUGUCACAUUCUGGUGAAAACAUAGCUGCUAAAAUUGCUUCUAUGGUUGAGGAGUUUAAUUUGAUUGAUAAGAUCUUUGCUAUAACUCCAGAUAAUUCUUUUGCUAAUACUAGGGCUUUCGAAAAUUUGCAACCUUGCUUAUUUGGUUACAUGGGUUCUUAUCCUGCACCUACACGUAAUGAUCCUCAAAAAGUUAAAUAUUUGCUUGUGCAUCAGCGUUGUGCUUGUCAUAUCUUUAAUCUGAUUGUUAAAUCUAGGUUGAAGAGGAUUCAUCCUUAUCUUGAAGCAUUUAGAACUGCAAUAAACUUUUCGAAAUCCUCUAAUCAAAGAAUUACAUUGUUCAAAAACUAUUAUAUUUCUAAGGGCCUAAGACCUAGAAAGUUUGCCUUGGAUAUAGAAGUUAGGUGGAAUUCCACAUAUUUAAUGCUUAAACAUUUGCUGCCAUAUAAGGAUGUCUUUUCUGUGUGGAUUACCACUAAUUAUGGUUUAGAAUUGUUGACUAACGACCAUUGGUUGGUUGUUGAAAAUAUGAUGAAUUCCUAGAAGUGUUUUAUGAAGCUACUGUUGUUCUAUCUGGUGUUUAUUAUCCAACUGCUCCACUUGUUUUGCUAAAAAUGAUACAAAUUUUAGAACUAUUGUAACCCCUAUGAAGCUUAAAUUUCUAAAAUAUUGGGAGACAAUUCCAAUGAUAUAUUCAUAUGCAUUCAUUCUCCUAGAGUCUUUUGUAAUGUGCUUGAAUUACUUGCUCAAAAUACUGGAGUCUACUAUACUUUGUACUAUGGUGAUGUUAAAGAUGAGAUGUCCAGAUUGUUUAGCAAGUAUGAGGACAAAUUUGGUGGUGCAACUAGGACUCAAAGGGUUUCAAUGCCCUCAGCUGGUUCUGGUAAGAAAAGCAGGCAUGGGGUAGGAUCUAUGGAGGUCCUGGUGCAUCCCCUAGCUUUUCCCCCUCAUGUUCAUCUACUCCAUCUGCUGCUAGUGAGCUCCAAGAUUACUUGCACAACAGUGACCCUGUCACUGAUUGGGAUGAGUCUUUUGACAUACUGCUAUGGUGGUGUGACCAUAAGCUAAUCUAUCUAAUUCUGUCUAUUAUGGCUCGCGAUAUUAUGUUUGUUCUUAUUUCUACUGUCUCUUUCGAGUCUUGUUUCAACUGUACAUCUAGGAUACUAGAAGACCAACGGCGGCGAUUGUUUUCUGAGCAUGUGGAGAUGCUCACCUGCAUUAAGGACUGGGAGCAAGGAGCAGCAAGAGAACAACACCAAGCUGAGGACUUUGACCUGGAGGAGAAGUUCAAGAACCUCUACCUGGAUGAAGAAGGCGAAGGCAGUGGCACCGGCACCGGCAGCGGCGCUACCACUGCUGGUACUUGAUGGGAGAAGAAGACAAUAAGUCACCAAUUAGAGAGGUAAUGUAAGGCUUAUAUAAUUCUUAUUUAGAUUGUUGCAAAAGAACUCAAACUGUCAAACAUAUGUAUCCUUACAUUCUAUAUAAUUUUGCAGGCAGUCUUGGUCUUUUGUUGAAGGCAACGGCUGUUCUGCUGGUGACUCUGGUGGAGGUGGUGAUUUUGUUCUGUGAAGGCAGCGACAAUGGCACUUUUGGUGAAGUCAUUUAGUCCCUAGGAGAAGUAGGAGUGUGAACUGUGAAACUAUUCUUGUAACUUCUGUGAAAUUUGCCACUCUAGUUGGCUUUUGUAAUGACACUAAAACUAAGAGUCGACUACACAAUUUUUCUCUUUCUAGGGUUUUUUAAGGGUGAGUUUUACCUAGAAAGGUUUUUUGUCACACCCCAAAAAUUUUAAUUUUGGGUUGUGCAUAGAAAACACUAACUAAAAUAAAUAUUUUGAUGCUUGGAUAAAAAAAAUUAACGUUAGUUUAAAAUAGUGUCAAUUAGUUAUGUGAAAUAUAUCAUUCACUAAAUUUUCUAAAUUUAAUUUGAUGGGUUUCUGCUUGAUGUGAUGUGAUGUGAUGUUUGUUUGUUGUUUGACUUUGCGUUGUAAGUGGCUACAGUUUUAGAGUGUGCUUAAUAAGUCAUUAAUGUGUAUCCAGCGUGUUUCUAGUUUUUUUUUAUAAUCAAGUCUUCUCUUUCUUGAUUUUAAUCUUCUUAUUCAGAGUUUUCUAUAUCCUCUUAUUCUACUUUAAAUUAUUCCUUUGAGCUCAUAUUCCAUCAACCGACCUAUUAAGACUUAUCAGGAAUUAUUUCAGCAUUUUUCCUGGAAUUUAAUUCCACUUGGAUCUGAGCAUAAUCUAAUUUUUAGAUACUCCUAGAUAUCUUUUUAUGAGCUCUAAAUACUUUAUUUGGGUUCCUCAUGAUCUAAAAUAUCUCUAAGAAUUUUCUCAUAAUUUUCGGAGCCUUCUGAGUAUUUUUCGGGCCUUAAAUAUCAAUUCUGAACUUUCUGGAAUUAUUUUUAUUCACGAAAUUAAUUAAAUCCGAAAAUAAUAAAAUACCUCGUUUUUCCAUCAACCCAAAACCCUAACACUAUAUAUAUGCCGGUGUUCUCCUCGACGCCCUCUUUCUAGAAGUACCCCGUUUCACGAGCCGCCGCUCCUAUCAUCCUAGAUCUAAAGCCGAAGUUUCAAAACCUUAAACUCCGACGAACUCUCCGGCGAGCUUUUCUGGCCAAAUCGUCGCGUUCCGGCAUCAACCACCACGACCAGAGGUAGCCCUCGUCGUUCUCUACGCCGUGGUGUACUUGUUUUCUCAAUUCCGUAUCCGUUUGUCGAUUUCCUAACUUGUCCUCUCUUUUCCGGUGAGGUCAUCCAUAGACGCAAACUUCUCCUUCGUUUUCGCUUACCGUGAUCCUGUGUGCUAUCACCAUCACCGGCGACCCUGCGCUUGCAGCUGGAGCUGCGCAACCGCCCCGAGCCCUCGGCCCCGCGCCUAGCAGUUUCUUGGCGCGAGCAGGAUGUCCACCGCUGCAGCUGCUGUGCGCCCUUCGGCUGGCAGCCAUGCAGGCCCAACCAGCCCCGCGAAGGACCCCGUGGGCAGCCCCAGAGCGCCGCCGUGCAGCUGUUGCGCCAUAGGCUGGCCAAGGCUGAGCCCCCUUCCCAACCAACGUGCAAGCAGCAGCAGCACCUCCAUGAAUCACGUUCGUGAAGGUGAGGAUCAAAGGUAGAAGAUUAUCAUAUUUAUGGUUUUGCCACUGCUCGUUUAAUCUCCGCCGUUCAUUCAUUUUACGUCCGAUCCAAGUGGUUCCAGUUGUGUUGUUUUAGUAUCGUUGUGCUCUACGCAGUAGUACAAAUAUUUAUCAUGUAACUCAAUUAUAAAUUUAUUGAUUUGAAAGAAACUCGAUUAAUAUUUAUGUAGUAAGCUUUAUAAUUAAAACCAAUCUAGCGUUAUAAUUCUUUCGUGUAUGCUGCUUUACGAUUAUGCCGACAUAAGCGAUAUGUUAGCAACAUUAUUUUCUAUGUCCUAUGUUUGUUAAUAUAAUUAAUUUGAUUAAUGUGUAGUUAAGCUAGUUUUUUUUGAUUAAAAAUUAACAUAGGUCAUGCACUUUCGGUUUUACAUAUGCAAAUAAAUAAAUGUUAAUAUAUUAACUACCUAUAUAAAUAUAUUUCUGAACUUGCAAUUUGCUUAGCCUAAACCAUGUCACAUAAAAUAUGUUUAGACGUUCUCACAUGUCUUUUUCUUUUACCGAGUUAAAGUUUAAAUUAAUUAAAUUAAUUGUCAAUAUUUAUAAAUAUAUAGUUUAAUUUGGCUGCUAAAUUGAAUAUAAGUUGACUAAUCUAAAUUAGAACUUUUCACUCUGUUUUCCACAAUUAGAAUAAAUAAGCACGCAGUUCUUUUCUUUUUGUUGCAAUAUAAUCCCGGUAGUCGUUUCUUUAUAUUGAUAGUUCCUUUAUCAGUGUUUAUUGUGCUCUCGUGACUGUAGUAACUAGUUAUUUUUUAGUACGGGUGUAUUGUUCUUAGUUUCUUUUAUUUAUUGCUUGUAUGUUUGCCAAUGUUUGGUUGCUGCGAUCUAUGAGUAGACGAGAACCGGUUGUGAGUGCUGAAGAUUAGAAGGUGAUGACUGAAAGCUGAUGAUACGAGAAUCGAGGAAGUGUUUAAGGCAAGUAUAACUUGGGAUCAUCCUUGUUACCUAUUCACUUAUAACUACACAUAUAUAUCAUAUGCAUGCUAUCACCUUGUCGACCUUAGCAAAAUCAUAGAUGAUUGUUACCUGUAUUCCUUGCUACCUACUUGAUAUGCAUUUGGUGUAGAUGUGCUAGUGCUUGAUAUAAUCCAUGAUCUUGUAAGAUGAUUAAUAGCUAUGCAAUGAACAUAAAAGAAUGACAAAUAACUGUAUGAGAUCUUGUCUGUAAGUGAUCACCGGGACAACAGUGCAGCCAUGAGGGCUAUAAUGGCUCUGGCUUUAGCUCAGUAUGAAGCCCUUUUCUAGGUUGUUAGAGGUUACCCGAAAGGGCGGAGGGGCUGAACCGUUUUGGGUAUAGUGUGGCCUCUGUCUGUAUGUGUAUAGGCUGCGAGUCAUUGUGCCAUCGGAAGGGGGGCUCUAUAUCUGCGCGCAAAGGAAACCUUGCGGCCCUAACAUGUUAGACGGGCCCUAACAUGUUAGACGAACUUUUGAAAGGCUUCAUAGUGAUCCCUGCCGACCUCCCUAGGAAGGGGGUUAAGAGAUUAGCUACCUCGGGCGAAAGGGUAAAUCAUGACUCAUGGGUAAAGAUGUACAACCUCUGCAGAGUGUAAAACUGGUAUACUAGCCGUGCUUGCGGUUAUGAGCGGCCUUGGGGGUUCUUGCUGCGCCGACGAUGAGCUUAUUAAGUUGUUAUGUUCAUUUGAUUAUCGUUUAUGCUAUGGAUUAAUUAUGCUUACACUUGAUCAUGGGAUUAAUGGAUUAUUUAUGCUUCCUUCACAUUUGCUACCUAAUUAUGAACAUGCUAUCCACUAUUAAAAGCUAAAUGCAGUCAAACCAGUGUCAGCUAUUUGAGCCUAAUGAACCCCUGGUUAUACUUGUUGAGUACGACAUGUGCUCACUCUUACUAUUUCCCACCACUCCAGUCCACUAGAAAGAGUUGAUUAGAAGGAUGGAGUCAUGAAGGAUGUUCUCAGGAUACAAGAAGUGCUAGGCAUAUGUUAGCCCCAGUCAACCGUCCCUGUGAAGAUUGAGCCUGAAGAUUAGUUACCGUUCCGCGACACUCUGAUGUAAGUGUUAAUUAUAAGUAUAUUUCCGUUAUAUAACAUUGUUUCUGAUAUAUUUCAUUCUGUUGUUAUAUGUGUGGACUUCCUGGGCACACAUAUAUAGCUAGCCUGGUUUUGCUCGGGUGUGACAUUUUUAAUGAGGCAACAUUGCACAAAAUAGCUCAAUUUAAGUAUUAUCCUUUUGUCAUAUUAUUUUAUCUGUGCUGUGAAUCUGACCAUGAGUUGGAGUUGGAGAGUUAGUUUCUAGAAUCUGUGAAUAUGUGAAUGGGAAUGGUUGAGUUCGACACUUUGUUUGUCAAUCUAUGAUUCUUUGAUUUUAUGAUGAAAAAGUUUAAUAUCUGUGGACAACACUUCGAAAAUAUGGUGGCAAUGAAGGUUUGUGGUGCUCAAGCUGUGGGCCGGCAUGGCCCAGUGAAAAUUGUCAUGAUUUGGUUGUGUACAUAUUCUACGAUUUUUCGAGAUUUUUAGUGUCCUACAAAUACAUGAAAAAUUCACCAUGGUUAACUUUGUUUAUUUAUAAAGAGAGGCAAAAUAAUCAUUUUCAGUACAAAGCACUAUUUUACUGUGUGGUUCUCAUCGUAUAGACUCUAGACGAUUUUAUGGUAUAAUUUUUAGGUACUUAUAUAAUUUUAUAUCUAUUUUAUAAAAGUAUUUUGUUAGACAUGGUGUCCACCAACCAAUUUAUCAAGAACUAGAAUGUCUUUCAAAAAUCGCUCAAAAAUAGGUGUCCACCGGCAAAGAGCCAUCACUUGGCAUGUCUAACAACAAAUUUUGCCUAAACUUUAACACCUCCAACCAAACACCUCCAAAACAUAUAUGAUGGCUAAUUUUGGAGAGCUGCAUUCAUAUGGUAUAAUCUAUAUGGGGCCGGUUGGUGGGGCCCAGUGAAUGUGCUUCUAUCUCAUGACGAGAUUAACAAUAUCGCUAAAUGGACUGAAACAAACUUUCACUUAAUUCACGUCACCUAGGAGUACCAUCACGUAUGCCCAAAAUGAUUUCCGAGCCUAUGGUACGUUCGGCAAAAACCAUGUACCUAUCUCACGUUGAGAUUAACUAGUGCCAAACUCGCUACGAGCAUGAGAGGGGACAGGUCAAUCCGAACCGGCUUAUCGUCAUGGAGUGGCUGCUGAUACAUCACAUUUGGCCUUUUUCAUUGGGCUCUCUUUGGGUUUAGUCCUUGCCACGGUUAUGCAACUAUGGAGUAUGUAAACCCUAGACAAAUGCGGCAGCGGGCGCGCAACCAUGAAGUAUUGGUUUAGUUAAUUCAGAUACGUGAGGGUUUAGUAUAGAAAAAGAUCAUUAUAUUUUACGUACGUGGUUGGAUGUUUCGCAUGCAAUAGCAUCGCCCUACUUGCCAAAACGGCAGUAGUAGUAGAGACUCAAGGGGCAAAAGUAUCAUCGCUUCUACUUCCAUGUGGAGUUAUUGAGAAUAGUUGCUUUUUAGUAUUGAACGAAGAUCUACAUUACUAUGCAUGUUUAUAUGUAAUACAAAACAUACACAAGCAUGAUGGUUUCAUGUACAUUCAUGCGACAUGUGUUCACGCAUGUGCAUGAUAAUGUGAAAAGAUUGUUUCUAGAAUUACAUGCUGAUGUCAACCGUUUUUGCAAAAAAUAGAUGGAUAACAACAGAACCUCCUUGACUACAGUUGCUUGUUAUCAUUGUAAUUAAUUAUCCUUGGUCAUCAUAAAAAUGUUAAUGAGCAUUUAUGCAACCAUGAAGUUACCAUCAUACAUUUACAAUAGUGAGCUACAAAUCAAAGACAUUUUACAAAACAACUCAUUUAUUACCAUUUCUACAAAUUGAUAUUGAAAAAACAUUGUAUAUAUACAUUACCAACUAUUAUAAGUUAUUAGCAUAGCUUCAUGACUUUGGGAACAUCAUAAUCCUCAUUGAUAGGGUAGCCACAGUUGUAACAAUAUUACUAUGAUGCAUGAUGUAACAAAGUUUUAACAUGGCGGUGGAGCAACCAUGUGUGUGCAUGAUAUACACCUACAACCAUAAGUUACAACAACAACCCUUGUGAGAUGACCAAUUGAUACAACCUUGGAUCCAACGGCAGAGGGUGAGGUGAAAUUAAGCUGGGCCAAUUUAGUGUUACAUAAACACAAGUGCAAAGUGGUUACUAACUAAAGCUUCACAUAAUUGUGAAUUCAAGUGUAAUAGAGUGUAAAGACUAAAGAAAAGAACAGGAGGCCAAUUUGAAGAGACAGAAGUUGGUGUGUUUCUUGAAAGAAAAUAGUUUAUGCAUGAUGUCAUCUAGAUGUCAAGAAGUGAGUAGAAGAACUUCACAAACAAAAGGGGGGAGGACCCCAAUUUUGCCUCUAGGAGGCUUUGUCCCCGCAUGGAACUACCACCAUCACAUGCCAAAAAUGUAUGCAAGAUUGUUCAAAAAAAAGAUAGUAUCUUCGAAUACACGUUGAUGUACACCAUUUUUCCUUUUUUCAUUUUUUUGAAAAAACUUGUAUGGUUUACAAGACAAGCUCCUUGAUCAUAUAUGUGGUUAUAGUUGGGAAUGAUCCUUAUUGGGAUGAAAAUCUAAAACGAACAUUUCUGCAACCAUGAAUCUACCAUCACAAAUGCACAACAAUGAGCUACCACAAGCAUCUAAGCCAUCUCAUGGAUAUUUUACGUAACAGUUUAGUUACUAACCUUUGUGCAAGUUGGUAAGUUGACAAACCACUAUAUCAUAAUCGGAUAGCUUGAAAAUUAUAGAUACAUCAUAAUUCUUGUUUACUAACAACAGAUGAUGUAAACAAUCUUUUUUCCUUGGAGUGACCGAGUGAGGCUGACAUUCUUGAACCAAACACCACCCCUAGAUGAAGUGCCUCCUUUCCAUUUGCAAAUAGAGGUAGAUCAUCAAAUUUCCCCCACAGAGGAGUAGUUUUAUUCAAACCUACCCAAAGAUCUAAGAAAAGAAUUGUUCUAGCGCACAUCUAUCAACAACUUAAUUGGCCCGAUACAACUUCAGUUGAAGUUAUACAGAUGAAGCAAAAGGACAGUCAAAUAAUUGGGUCUAAUCUAGUUCCUAUGUUUUAGUACAAAUGAGCGUUGUGGGGAGAAGUGUGGUUAAAACAACCAUAGUAAAACAUAUCAUUUGACUAAGAAGCUUAUAAGCUAUACGAAACAGAACACAUGAGCCUACAUAUAUCUCGAGACUCACUAAUAAAUAAAUAUUUCAAUCACUAAAUUAUUAAUAAUAUAGUUUUGAUAUAGAAUAAAACUUAUUAUUAUUGGGACUGCUUAGAUCAGUCAAUGGUCCAACUAAUCAAACCGUGAACUGAAACCUUAAGCAUUUUGUUAUCCAAUCCAAUCAAAAUAAAUCUAUCUGGAAGUUGUUAUAUACCAGUGUAAUCCCGGGGCUACCAUGUUGAAAUUAAGAGGAGUCUCUAUCAUAAUCAUCAAAUAUAGACAAAUACUUUACACAACGACAACUAACUCCUUACCGAUUUUAAUUAUUCAAUAUUAGAAUUACAUAUGUUUAUUGGUCUUCAUAAGAAAUCACGGAACUUGUGAUAUCUAGUAAGUACCAUUCCUACUUAUUUUUCAUUAACAUUUGAUUUGAUAGCUUUUUUUCUCCCGUUACAACACGGGCAUGUUUGCUAGUGUAGGAAAAACGGAGGAAAUUUUGGAGCGUAUCAUGGGGCAACUAUCGCUCCUGCAGUACACACCACCAGGAAAAGGCAUAGCCCUGUCUUUGGAACAAUGCAUAAGAUUUGAAGCAAAUAUUAAGAAAAUGCAAAUAAAUUUGAGAAGCAAAGACUAUGUCUGUGCCAAGAUUUAGAAAAACCUGUAUCGAUUUCAUGCUAAUUACUGCCCACUCCUCCCUCCUCCCUGAGGGCACUCACAAUGCAGACUCUAUCAUAGAGUCUAAAGUUAUUUAUUACCUCGAACAAUGUAGACUUGGAGUCUAAAUAAGACUUGGAGUCUUAUUUUUUCUACCUCUUUCUUCAAUAAAUAUAUUGUCACAUCAGCAAAAUAUCAUAAAUAAUAUGUAAUUAAGUGUCUUGGACUCUGUGAUAGAGUCUUGCAUUGUGAGUGCCCUGAGAAGAACAUAUAUAAUUGUCUAGUACAGUACUAAUAAGUUCAACAAUUUUAUAUUGAGACAAUUCUCCACGUGUCAUUGAAAGAGAUGGUUGAUCCCAAUGAUAAGUUUAUUGCGACUCCUAUACCAGCUUAUAAAUUUUUCUUCACUAUGAUGCCAUUUUCAUCAAAUGGGUGCUAACUCAUUAAUUGACACUCUUAGUGACCGAGUUGCACAUAGGGAAUUUUUGAGAAAAAAGAAUAAAUGCUACAUCUAUGAAUUGUUAUUGAAUAUUUUGGAUUCUAAACAAUAUUAAACAAAAAAUUAACUACAAAGUUUCAUAUAUCACCAAUAAUUACGACUUUGAUAUUGAGUGUGUCUCCAUCCGAGAUCACUUGAAAAACUCAAAAAGUUAAUUUUUAGAAUAUAGGAACUUAAUUUAUGUAAGACUCCUAACUGAUCUCGAAUGAAAAAUCAUGAACCGUAAAGUUUUAGAUCUCAUUGAUCUCUACAAUUUUCAUAUAUACAUUUAAAAAUAUUAUGAAUUUAUUUGUUAUAUAUCUACGUUGCUAAUGGUGCCACUACCUUCUAUACCAUAUUUUAAAUCACCCCUUAGUGUCACUUUUCCGUUGGGAGUUAACAAUAACAUGGUAGAAGUGGCAUGAAGGGGAAGAAAAAAAAAAGUAAAAAGCUAGUAUGGGAGUUCCAAUAAUUAGCUGCCAUAAAUCACCAUCACUAAGUUCAGGCAAGUAUGACAAGCCACAAAAAGUGUGGCAAAGAAUUUUGGAGUCCACUUUACCAUGCUUAAAGGAAUCUUGCCACACUUUUAUACUUUACUAGGUUCGGGUCAUGCGGUUGCUAUAGAACAGCUAAACUUUUAUACUAAAAAUAUACGGAUCAUAGAUAAGAUAACAAUACUAUGAAACUAAAUAGUGACGUUAAAGUGGCAUUUAAUCUAAAAGGCAAAGUUCAUGAAAUUAACAGUCAUGGAGAAGGCGGCGUUGCAGGCGCACAAACUCUCUAUGGAUAGACAUUUUCAUGAUACGGCUAAGAUAAAUGUUUUGUAUCGACAAGAAGAAAUCUUUGAUGUCCAUUUUUUCAUGUGCCAACAAAUCCACGAAUAAGUUCUGCCGUAUCUCUAUACCAUAUUGUACAUAGGUUCGAGUAUAUAUAUAAAUAUUAGUGCGUGUCGCUUGGGCAAUACUACAUGUUAUAAAAAUCUCUCGUAAAACCGUAAAGCAAAGUAUGUUAUACUCACCAUAUAAAUAUGUGUGGUUUUAGUUCUAUUCCACAAAGACAUAUACUUUAAAAUAAGGUAUCCACUUGAGUAUCUGUGGCAAGAUUCAUCAUCAGCAAAUAUAGAAAAGUUAAUUAUAGGUAUUAUUAUUGCAAGUGAUGGUAAUUCUGAGCUAAUUACCCAUCUAGGACAUUUGCAAUAUUUUUCACCGAUGAAUUUCCAUUAAGAUAUCCUCAUUCCAUCCAGGAACAUGUACCUUCACUGCAGCCAUAUACUGCAAGUUAAAUCCAAGAAUUUUCAUGGUAUACAUGUCUUACACCCCUUUUCAAUAGGUCUAGAGUCAAUCAUGAGUCAAUCAUGAUAACCAUCUUCUGCACGUGUGACAUGCAUGUGUUCGUUAUUGUUGACGAUAUCAUGCUGUUAAUGUGACUUAUGUUUUUCUUAAAAAGUAUUAUAUAUUUAUUUUAUAGCCUGUAUGCAAUCAAUAAGAAAACAGAUUAAAUUAACUAACAAAGUGUUUGGUUCAGCUAAUUACUGCUGAGACUGGAUAACAAUACAGCUGCUUGUUUUGACCCUUCCUGUUAUGAGAUAUUGUGUAAUCAAAUAGCACUCAAAAUACCUAAAUGUCGUUUUACUACUUGAAAAAAAAAGAAAAUUAUAUCCUGAGUCUUUUUCUAGACAGAAGCAGUCGUACUAAACACAUGAUGUCCAUUAGACCGUGCAUUAUCAGAUGACAUCUAAAUAAAUGUCCGAUAUUGACAUUAUAACGACGAUGAAAAGGGGUGUGUGAUUAUCUCGGCGCUUAUGCGAUUAUGGUUAGUUAAUAUGUGCAACAGAUCUGCCACAGCAACAACACGUGUUGAGGGUGGUCAAAAUCCUGACAUGGCAGGACCCACCUAAAUAUUGCUAGUGUAACAUGCGUAAUUCACUUGAGGAAUAACUUUUCAUCUUUGCCAUGGUGCCAAGGAAUGAGUUGUUGACACGAGACCUAUGUGUUACAAAUCAACUUUACUAGUGGGAAGUACUCAAUAAAGCAGUUUCAUCAGUGAAGCUAAAGCUAUUAAAAAUAUUUAGUAAUACAACUUCUAAGGGAAAAUAUAAGAGAGAAAACUAUGAAAAACUAGUGUUUUAGCUUUAUCCAUCUUCACAUAGAGAACCGUGUUUGUGAGGGAAGCUAAAAAAACAGCUUUCACCUAACGCCUUGUUUAGUUCCAAGUUUUUUUAAGAUUCUCUGUUACAUCGAAUCUUUGAAAGCAUGCAUGGAGUAUUAAAUAUAGAUGAAAAUAAAAACUAAUUGCACAGUUUGUCUGUAAUUGUGAGAAUAAUCUUUUGAGCCUAGUUAGUCUUUAAUUAAACAAUAGUUAUCAAAUAUAAACGAAAGUGCUACAGUAGCUAAAACCAAAAAAAUUCGUGAACUAAACAAGGUAACUUCAUUUUUUUACCACGGGAAUCUCCUACCUAUUUUUUUUCCUUUUCCAUUAAUUGAAAGAAUGAUAUGUACACGGUGCAAAGCAAAAAAAACAAACUAAAGUACAAGGCAAACAGACCCUUUAGAAAAAUCGGCUUCCAUAUAAUUAUCUCUUCAUAAAGUAAUGGAUGGUUGCCACUGGUUUGGCUUUGGCACACAGCAAACCAAGCUCUUGCUCGAAAUGUCUCUUCCACAUAUUAAUAUAUCGACCUCGCCAUUAUCAAAGAUGACACCAUUCCUUGUCGUCCAAAUCACCUAGCAGCCUGUGAUGAGUAUUUCUCUGAGUAUCACAUUAUCAAAGUCUGGCCCUUGCUUGGAUUGAAGUUCAGGUUCCAAUUUAUUGGUAUAGUUAGUCAACAAUCUCGACUGAAUGAACAUUCAAAGAAGAGAUGGAAAAACUUGUUUCUUCAUAGCUUGAGUCGCAAAGAACACAACUGUAGUCAUCCAGUUCCAUAUUUUUUUUCUUCUCACAAGAGAUUCCUUGUAUUCAGUCUAUCCCUGAGGAGUAAUCAAAAGAAAAUUUUAGGUUUUCCUAGGUUACUUGAGGCCCAAAGCCAUUUGAAUAAAGGAGAAGCUGCAGUGAAACCAAUCAGGAUGCUAUAAGCCUUCUUGCUACUGAAAUUGGAUGAUCCUUAUGAGUAACUCCAGCUGUCAUUCCCAGUAUCAGCCCAAUCUUUAUCUUGUAAUAGACUAUCAACCUCCUGUAACUGGCAAGCUAAAAAUGCUAUCCACUUCUUGAUCUAGGAGGUAUCUUAUUGAGCACUUGGGUUUCUUAGGCCUUGUUUACUUCUAUCCAAAAUCCAAAAUUUUUUUAAGAUUUCCCGUCACAUCGAAUCUUUAGACGCAUGCAUGGAGUAUUAAAUAUAAAUGAAAAUAAAAACUAAUUGCAUAGUUUGGUCGAAAUUUACGAGACAAAUCUUUUGAGCCUAGUUAGUCCCUGAUUGGAUAAUAAUUACCACUAACAAACGAAAGUGCUACGGUGUCGCGAAAACAUUUCGGCAAGGAACUAAACAAGGCCUUAGUGAAAGAGAACAAAUGGGGGAAUUUGUCUUUGAGGGGCUGGUUUGACUGUGUUAGCCUUGCUAGGUGUGUGCAGAUAGUAAACUCCUGAAAUUUGUCAAAGAGUUCAAAGAAUUUGCUUUCACCAAAAAAAAAGACCCAACAGGGCAUCUGGCAUGGUGGAGUUUGUGUGUUGGAAUAGAAGUUUUGACCAAGUUAAAGUCACGCAUGGUACAUAUGCACAGUUAAAAAAAUUGUCUAAAAAUUUCAUUAGUAAUGCUUCAUUCUGACUUCUGAUAUCAAUUAUACCCAAGCCUUCCUAUGUUUUUUUAUUUGCAGGUUAUUUCCCAUGCAGCAAGACCUCUUCUAUUAUUAUCACCUUUUUUCCCACGGAACAGUGCUUUCUGAAAACAUCUAUUUUCUUAAUGACUUGAUGAGGAAUUUGGAGGCUACACAUAUAAAGUGUUGGCAGUGCUAAAAAAACUGAAUUGACCAGUGUAAGUCUUCUAUUGUAAGACAAGAAUUUACUGAUACUAGAAAGCCUUAUUUCAAUCCUUGAGAGUAGGGGUGUGAAUUCAAGAAGGGAGUAGGGUUUGGUAGUCCCAAGAAAACCCAAGUAAUAAGUGAAAGCAUGCUACCAACCUUACAUCCAAAGGUGUUGGCCAGGUGAGAGGCUCUGUUAUCAUCUCUGUUGAUUGGUACCAAAAAAGAUUUGUUAAAGUUAACUUGAAGCCUAGUAGAAUCUGAGAAGAGUCUAAGGAGGCCCUUGAGGUUAAAAAGAACUCUUGCAUGCCCUGGUAAGAUGAGGAAUGUGUCGUCAGCAUGCUGAAUAAUAGGGUAAUCUCCUUGGAAAUUAUCACUGAUAGGAGAAGUUGACAAACAACUUUGUCAAGCUAAUGCAGAAGCGGUACCAAACACACACACACACACACACACACACACGUGCACAGGAGUGGAUCCUACCAAGCUAAACAGCACAAACAGUCACACAGGUUGCAGCUAGCUUUCUUUUUAGAUGUGAGGACAUUGCAUAUCCCUAGACGCAGAUUUAGGUUCCUUUUAGAACGCAGAAAUUUUUUGGUUCCAUGAAAAUAAAUUGAUUUGUGUGAAAUUCUGUAUGAUUACUGUGGAAUUCAUGUAUUCCAAAUGGAUCCUUAACUUUUUCGCGUCCUACAGAGUUUUGCUCGUACAAAUCAGUUGAAGAAACCAUGGAAACUGAAAAAUUAUUGCAAAAGAAAACACACACAGCAGCAGCAGAAGACAUUUGCUUAACUAUAACUGAUACUUUUCACUAGCUUUAAUCUAACUGCCUGGCAAUCCAUGAUUACAUGAAGACAAGCCUUCCCAUUGCCAUAUCUGUUUCCUUUUUCAUUUCUUGCAAAGAUAAAAAAGAAGAAGAAGAGAAAAAACAAAGAUGCGAAAUAAAGGAUAACUGAUGACGAUCGAGAUACCUGAUGGAUAGUAAGAUACUAGACGGACAGUAGUAAUAAUAAGAUAGGCUAAAGUUACCAUGAGAUACUAAGAUGCAUAGUACUAAGAUAGGCUAAAGUUAAACGCCAGCAGUCUUGCUGAGGCUAAACUACGACCACGUACGUCCAGUGUCUGAUGAGUCCCUACAUAUAAAGAUAGCUUCCCAAUCAGCUCACGCGCGCAUCGUCUUGUUGCAGCAGCUCGAUCGAUCGGUGAGCUCAAGCGCGGUCCUUGCGGGUCUCCGUGUUCCCCAGGGUGAGCUCCAGGCCCUCCUCCUCGUCGGUGUUCUUGUCGUUCAUCACCUCCUCCUCCCCGCCGCUCCUGUGGAACGAGAACCCGAGCGGUGACAAAAGCUUGCCACCGCGGCCACGGACCACCGCCGACGCCCCGCUGCUGCUGCGUCCCGGCAGCGGCGGGAGCAUCCAGGCAGAAGCAGAGCUCCUGGCGCCGAGCGACGUCGCGCCGGACGCCACGAAGCUGCUGUAGGCCGGUCCCUUGUUGGCCGCGCCGGUUGAUAAGUGGAACCCCGCCAGCAGGGUCGUCACCGGCGGGUCGGGGCCGAGGGGCCGGCCGACGACGGUGCUCAUCAGCGGCGCGGUGGAGGUCUGGAAGGAGUAGCGGCUGGCGCCAGCACCCGUGGCCCACGGAGGCGGCAGCACGUUGUUGGGGGCCCUCGCCGGGCUCGGCGGCGGGGUGGCGGGUGGCGGGGAGGAGUAGUAGCGCACCUUCUUGUGGAGGCGCGGCGGGGACGAGGGCCGGGAGCCGUCCUGCGGCAUCGCCGGCGCCUUGGAGUUGGAGGAGCUCGCGAAGAAGUUGGGGUACGAGUUGUCGCCGAGCUGUUUGGACAGGUUCUUGAGCCACGCCGGAAUGGGGUCGGCUGCGCCGCCGCUGCCCCCGCCGCCGAGCGUGAUGCCGCCGGAGGGUGACCACGCCCGGUUCAGGCUGUAGGAAGCUCCGCCUGCGCCUGGUGGGUUCACCGCAGCAGACGACCCGACAACGUCGGCCAUAUGCUGAUCAUCACCUGCCGGAGGCUUGGGUCCCUGAAGAAACACAAAUCGAAUUAGAGCCGAGAGGGCAUCAACGAACGACAAUAGAGUAGACAUGCAUUCACAUGCACGCAAAAAAUGUGCAAUCGACGACAGUUUUUCUUUCCCUGCGCAUCCGUUAUUCCGUUUACAGUCGACGUAACAGUACGACUAACGAGGCCGACUGAAGCAGCUAGCUGCACACACGCCAAUCUGCAGGUAGCUUUGAGAAGGAAGGAAGCUCAUCCAAUCUUGUUGGAAAGGCAAUGGAACAGUUGAUGUAUAGCUAGAUGACGAGCAACUGAAAUUAAAACAAAACAAAUUUUGGACUUUUGCUACAAACAAAAGACGACGAAGCGGAAAAGUUUGCAACUGUCGACGAUACUACACUACACACGCAGCUCGGCAGAGCGAAACGAAGCCGGACGCGCGACGACAAGAACGAGAACCAGCGCAAACGAAACAAUGGAAAGGCAACGGCGGCGGCGGCGGGGGGCCGGCCGGCGGCGACCAUUAAUUAGCUCGAUCAUCGGAACAGCGAGCUGAGAAAGAGUAAUGAGUACCUUGCGGUAGGUGGUGCCGUCGGCCUCGACGGUCCAGCCGGCCUCCUCGCAGAGCGCCUUGAGCACCAUGUUGUUGUCGCAUUUCCUGGGGAGGGCGUAGUUGCCGUAUUUGCGCAGCCCGGUGAAGAUCCUCGCCGCGAUCAACCGGCGACGGCGCUCCCGGCGCCGGUUGUUCUCUCGCUCACGCCACGGCAGCUCCCGCACCGCCGCCUUCCCGUUCCCGUUCUCCUUCCCGUUUCCGUCACCUGCCCUAGCCCAUGCGCCGUCACCCCCACUUCCUCCCGCUCCUACUCCCUUCAUCACCAUUUCCGUGGUGAGGACGAAGCUGCUGUGGUGGUGGUGAAGCAUCGGCUGCAGGUGCACUUUAUGUAGGCCGCCACUGAUAACUGACAGGACAGUGAUUUUCCCAUUAUGCCCAUGGCUCGAGUACACAUGAUAGCCAAGGACGCGGAGGGCACCUUUGGUAAUUGCAUCAGGUACCUAUUGCAGCAGUGGCAAUUUUUAGCAAUGGUGUAUUAGCCUUAAUGACCUGCCAAGAAUGGAUGACAAGGAGUGAUCUGGUUAGAGUAAACAUAGAUGACUGCUAGUUUUAUGAGAGCUACAUUCAUUAUGGUACAAAAAAUAUAUACGAGACCGACUGGUGGGGCCAGUGAAGCUAGAACUGGUGCCAAACCAGCCCUGAGCAUGGAAAGGGGUCAGGUUUGGACCUGUUGAUCGCCAUGGAGCGGCUCCUGAUGCACCAGCACCACAUCUGACCUUUCCCAUUGGGUUGGUUUAUUCCUUGCCAUGGUUUUGCAAUCAUGGAGUAUGUAAACCCUAGACACAAUGCGGUCAUCGGUGUCGCAACCAUGAAGUAACUUUAGAUACGUGCGGGUUCAGUUACUCCAGAUACGUGCGGGUUUGGUUUGGUAAAAAGUCGUUAUAUUUUACGUGCAUGAUUGGAUAUUUUCUCGAGGCAAUAGCAACGCACUCCUUACCGAAAUGAUGGUAGUAACGGGGACUCGAGGGAAAAAGUGUCGCCACUUCUACUUUGACAUGGAGUUACUGAAAAUAUUUGCUUUUUAGUAUUCAAUGAAGAUUUGUGUUACUAUCAACGGUUAUAUGUAAUACAAAACACACGAGCACGAUAGUUUCAUGUACAUUCAUGCAACUGAGAAUCAUGGCGCCACGUGUGUAUGCACGUGCAUUAUAAUGCGAAAAUAUUGUUCCUAGAAUUAGAUGAUGUCAACUAUUUUUUUUGGCAAAAAUCAGAUGGUUUACAACACAUGCUCAACUCUUUAACUAUAGUUGUUCUUAUAGUUGUAAUGAAUUAUCCUCGAUUGUCAUAGAAAUAUUAAUGAGCAUUUACGCAACCAUGAAGUUACUACCGUACAUUGACAACAAUGAGAUACAACCAUAUAUAUAUAUGCCAGAUCAAAGAUAUUUUAGAAAACAGCUCACCUAUUACCAUUUCUACUACUCGAUAAAUUGAAAUAGCAUUGUACAUAUACAUUGCUGACCCAUAUAAGUUAGGGGCAUUUGGCUACCGGACAUGCAAAGUGGCGCGCAUUAGCUGAAAGACACUUUUUCAUGUAACACUCACCACCAAAACAGUUGCCAUUUGUAAACCAUAGCCCCCUCCCACAGGGGCGACUCCGCCGCCACCGCCGCCUUCGGCCCGUGUUCCCCUCGCCUCCAACCUCCCUGCCAGUGCUGAGGAUAGGUUUUUCUCCUUUUAUUUUUCUUUGCUCCAUAGUAAUUUGGGCCAGGUUUUGGUUGGUCAUUUCAAUGUUUUCGAUCUAGCUUUCUGUUUUAUGUCGGAUCGUUGAUGGAUGUGUCAUCGUCUUCGAUGAUGGGAUGCUCUUUGUUGAGAGAUCAAGGUAUAUUGGCAUAGUUCUUCUCGAGGAGGGAUUGGAUCUAUUUUUCCCUUCUAUGGGAUUGUCUUUCUGGCCGCAGCGGCAGCAGAUCUGCCAUUCCGAUUGCUGGUGAUUAUGCUAGUAGCGUCGAAUCUUAUGUCCGUUCAUCCUUUAGAAGAUAUGGCCGAUGUGCUCUCGACACCAUUUACUCCCCAUAGUGGUUGAGCUUAUCGUGCCUCUUUUGCAGUCUCCAUGUUUCUAGAGCCUUCUGUUGGUAGGGAUUAUGGUUCUUGGGUCCAGAUCUAGUGUACUUUCAUGGUCGAGAUGAAGCUUCCUAAAGAGGAGCACCGCCGGAUGCGAGGUAGAUGAAGUAUAGGGACCUAGUGGUGUGCUUCAAUGUAAUUUUAUUUUAUAUUGAGGUCUCAAUUGUAAAAGGGCUUUAAAGUUAAUGAAAUACAGUCCCUUUCUUAAAAAAAUAUGGUUUUAAAAAAAGAGAUCAUGAGUGGAGUUUCUAAAACUCCAAAAGAAAAACUAUAGUUUUGAAAAAACCAUGGUUUUUGAGGCUACAAGAUUUGUUGCACCUAAACACCUAGUAGCUUUUAAAAACCAAAUUAUUUUGUAAAACUAUAGUAUUUCUCUAAUACUUCAAAAAUACUUUGCAUUCAAACAGAGCCUAUCUGUGUUUUAGUUAUCAAAUCUACGGUGAUUAAAUUAGUUGUUUACUAGAAACUAUAUAAAUUAGGAGAAUUUCAAGCUAAGCACAUAGAAAAUACUAGUCACAACCAGAAAAAGUGAAAAUUUGUAAUCCAAAAUCUUUGAAUGUUUUGAACAACCAUGCUUCACUUAUUACUACUGCGUACUACUUUAUAUAUUAUUAGUGGUUCAAAUUGCGUUUUACCAUAGGUAAGUCGUUCGAAACCACGAAUGACAGAGUUUAUUCCUAAAGUGAUGAAAUGGUUCUUCAUCAAGUUAAACAACAUUCAUUGCAUAGCUGGUGGCUAGCAAUUUGCAUCCACGUUGACUUUUAGUUCUGCAGCUUUAACCAGAUAUAAGCAGCUAGCUGCUAAAAAUUGCUAAUAUAUAUUUAUGUUACAUAGUUAGUAUCAUUAUAAAGAUCUUUAAAUCUAGUUUUUUAAUAAAUUUAUUUAGAGAUAUAAAUAUUACACGUAUUUUUUCAAAUCAAGUCAAACUUGUGAUGUGGAAACCGAAAACGACACUUAAUUUGGGAAAGAGGGAGUACGUGCUCCAUAGGUAGCAGUCUCAUCAGCUUGCUAUUGCCAUCCUCAAGCUGUCUCUAAUAGGAGAACUAUUUGGGAACCCAAAUCCAAAAUGGGUCUCCAACAUAAUAUCUAUAGCCUCAGUAUCCAUACAGAAGACUCAUUUUGGUAUGAGGAGAGGCAUAACCCAAAUUUGGGUAUCCUCUCUCCUUGAGACCCAUUUGCAGAGAAUAUUGUCUUUUAGGUCUUAUUGUUGGAGAAGACUAAAAAUAGGUAUAGAAUUUUUUACAUGUAGUACUACUCAAAGGACAAAUGAGUCUUGUAUUUUGUAUUUUGGGUGACGAUUGUUGGAGAUAGUCUCGUGAACUUACGAGGCCCAUAUCCUCUCCAAUGGUUGCAGUUUGCCCAUAUCCGCUCACCCUUUUGGCCUUUUCCCACGAAAGCGACGCUGCGAGCAAGGCUCGCACCACACAUUUCACACUUACAACUAGCUUCCAGUCCUUGAUGUCUGACUGUCUGAGAUGCCUUUUCCACUGCGAUUCCAUGCAACUCUUCAGUUUUGCUGCAACGCAUACUACAGGGUUCGUUGUUGCGAAAUGAUUUUCACGACGGUCAAAAACGGUUUAUAUGGGUGAUGAUUUUCGAAACCCACGCUUCACUAUCGAUUAUAAAGACGUUGCCUUUUAAUUAUAAAGACGGGCUUCCAACCGUUCUUUUGAAAUUCAUUUCCAGAGAUGGUUAUCUUAGGCCUUAUUUAGUUCAACCCAAAACUUUUCAAGAUUCUCUGUCACAUCGAAUCUUGCGGCACAUGCAUGGAGCAUUAAAUAUAGAUGAAAAUAAAAACUAAUUACACAGUUUAUCUGUAAAUCGCGAGAUGAAUCUUUUAAGCCUAAUUAUUCCAUAAUUGGACAAUGUUUGUCAAAUAAAAAUAAAAGUGCUACAGUGUUGUUUUCUCAAAAAAAUUUGGUACUAAACAAGGCCUUAAACCAACCACCCAUGUAUAUGCAAUUUUAGGACCCUGCAAAUGUGAAUGGCCAUCUUGUUUAAAACAAACCGCUUCUCAAAAUACAUUUGAAAUUAUAAAAUUUUCAACUAUAUUUAUUUUAUAUUAUCUCACCGGUUUUUAUGUGUACACACUAUCAGAUUUUACAUACGUGACCUAAUAUUCCACCCAUUUUAAAGUCAUCGUCAAGUGGUUAGUAAUAAUGUUAUAUGCAUUAAAACUAAAGUAUUAAACACACACAUUACAUGUUAUUUACACUGUAUUUAUAACAAUUAGUGUCGUCGAUAGUACCAAUUACAAAAUGAUAUACGCAAACACUGAGUGGCAAAGAGUUAUGCAAGUCUUGAGUGCUAAUUGAGUGGUCUAAUUAACUAGUCUACUAAACACUUCAUAAAAAGCAAUCAUCUAAUAUUUUCUUAAACAAUUUUGGUAGUUAGAGCACUAGAGAUUAGCCUCAACUCACAAGAAACGUGUCUGAGCUCCAACAACAACCAAAUAUCCGGUUGGUGGUAUAUAUAGCCUCCACCCCAGAUAUAGCUGUUGGCAAAGGAUUAUAUAUGCAGUGCUCACCAGGAACAGGAAGGUCCGGUAAGGCCACCAGAGAAAUUCAGUUGCCUACCACUUCAUCUAGUCGUUGCUAACUUUUGAAGGGCCUUUUCUCCAGUGCACCACCGGGAGUAUUCCGGUGUCCCUCUAAACCUUAGAAACUUUUAGACAACACUCUUUUCUUCUGGUGCUUCUCUUCAAGAUACUCGUAUCACCGAGAAUUCUGAUGGUCUUAAAAACCUUCCGCAGAACUUCGCCCAAGUGUUGGUCUGGCCACCAAAUAAUUCCGGUGAGUGUUGGCGAUCAGACAUAUGAUGCUAUUCCUGUGUUUAAUCGAAUUCUCUUGGUACACUUAAAUUCUCUUUCAAUAUUUAUAAUAAUGUUAUUUCUUUUGGCACUUAAAUUCUCUUUUGUUAUUUUUGAAAUUACUAGUUAGCACUAGCUGAUGAAUUUUCACUACUACAUAUUCCUGUCCUUUGUGUUUUUUUUCCAAAGAGAAGAGAGACUUAUAUUAAAUCUUGGCAUAGUACAUCCCUAAACUACACAUGAAAAAAAUCUGAAAUAAAAAAUACAUAAUAUUCUAUCCAGGUUCUUCUAUCAUCUUCUUCCCUAAUGGCUUCUCCCUUGAACACCGGAGCCAAAGUGCAGUCUUUAUGCCGAAUUCAAUAACCAACCCUAAAACACUGGACAUAUCAUAAGAUUUAACGCUUCAGAACCAGUCUAAACCGCAUCUAAAAGAAUAUCGGCGGCUGCAUCAUUGGGUAUGACAUAGGCUACAUAACCAUCACCUAGAGAUCUUGAAUUCCUCAGAUCGAUGACCUGAAGUCAUUAUACUAGUAGGAGGCUCCCAGAAGCACCCCUCUCCUUGCACAUAAAGGCCAUAAAUUGCCACCCUCCUAUGAAAUCGACGUCUACAACGGCGAUCUCAUCAUGACAAUCACCUAAGUCAUCGCAGAAAACACAACGCCGACUGAAAAUCAUCUAAUUUUGUCGGAAGAUAUAUUGGACCAAGCUCUAAUUAACUAGAUAGAAAAAAUACGACAAUAGAAGGAUGGAUCCCCUGUCCUUGUCUCCGGCAGAGGGAGACCCUAAAUGUGGUGGCGGCGGAGCGAGGAGCGACUAAUGGCCCUUUGUGAAUGAGAAAGUACAUGUAAGUUUCAGUCACCUCAAUAAUAACAUCUACAAUUGGAGCAUACGAUGAAGUCAAAGUAAAAGUAGUCUUUGUUGGAUUUCGUUCAAAACCUUACGAAAUGUUUCAUGCUUUGCUCCUUGUACUCAUGAAUUUUUUCAUGAUUUGUUCCUUUUCAGUAAGGAUAAAUACGGUUUUUAUUCAGACUUCACAUAAUUCAUGUGCUGAAUGUGUCAAUUACAAUAAUGGAAUGGAGGGAAUUUGAUGUUUUUGUUCCUGCUCUAGAGUUCAAUUGUGAUUUUAUCUCUACUUUUUAAACUUUGUAAUUUUGCCCUCAUAGUUUUGGAUUGAAGAGUCUCUAGAAUGAAAUGCACCACUUGUUCUUAUUUUUUUUCUUUUUUUUGAGUGGAUCUUAUUUUUUUCUCAUACAUCUGUCGAGUAUUUCAUGCCAAUUGACAGUUGACAGGCCCAACUGGUAGUGUAGGUAGGCCCAAUACUAUCUUGAAAUUUAGCCCAAUAAUUUCUUACUAGUAUUCGACAGCCUAAACAACAAACAAGUUUGGCCUAGAUAACAACCACUCGCUCCUAAUCUCUCAAAGCCGCGACCGCGACCUUCCGACAUUCUGACCGACUGCGUGCCUGCACGAGGUGCGAGCGACCGCCGCUACCUGCUGACUUGCUGAGCCUCGAGGCCCCAGCGACAGCGGGUCCCGCGCUGGCCGCCGCCUCGUCUUGCGGCAACCUCCACCGCGACGCCGCCGCACGUGGCUGCGCGCAGUGCUCUGCCAGUCCGCCGGCACCGGGUGUGCCAAAGCAGCUACCCGGCCGCCCACCUCGCCGCAGAAAAUAUUUGUAGAACUCCCCUAGAAAAUGCAUUAUUAAUAAUAAUGAAAAAAAAUCACUCAAUCCUCUGUUCCCCAAUGUUGCAGCGCCACUAGCUGUGCGCCUCGAGCCCACCUCUCCGCAGGAGCCCCCGCCAGCCGCCACACGCCACCCGCCACUCUCUUUAUGCAUGCCUUGUCUAGUUCGCGUAAAAAACCAAAAAAAAAAUUAAGAUUUCUCGUCACAUCAAAUCUUACAACACAUGCAUGAAACAUUAAAUAUAGAUAAAAAUAAAAACCAAUUAUACAGUUUAUAUGUAAAUCACGAGACGAAUCUUUUGACCCUAGUUUAUCUAUGAUUGGACAAUAUUUGCCACAAACAAACGAAAGUGCUACAGUAGCAAAAUUCAAAAAAAUUUCACAUCUAAACAAGGCCUAGUGGAUUAGUGGACAAAGGCUCCUCCCAUAUACCUGCUUCAUUUAUGUUUUUUAUUAUGGUAGUAAGGCUAGUUUCAACGUAUGUUUCAUGAGAGUGUCAGGCACAUUAAAUAGGGUGCCACAUAAGCAAAUUUGCUGACUUGGUAGGGUCAUUAAAUGAAGGAAUUUCAUCAAAUGAGAGAGAAGUUUCAUCCCCAUGAAACUCAGGUGGCUCGGUUAUCUAGUUUAUAGUCUCGGUAAUUGUGCCAUAAAACUAUGAAUUGAGACUCGUCUAACUUCUUAGUGUAACAUUUGGGCACAAAAUUUCUCAAUGCAACACCUCAGGCCUUGUUUGGUUCACCCAAAAACCAAAAACUUUUUAAGAUUUCAUGUCGCAUCAAAUCUUGCGGCACAUGCAUAGAGCAUUAAAUAUAGGUGAAAAUAAAAACUAAUUGUAUAGUGAGCUAAGGUACCGAGGCCUUGUUUAGUUUACCCCAAAAACCAAAAAGUUUUCAAGAUUCCCUGUCACAUCAAAUCUUUCAGCACAUGCAUGAAACAUUAAAUAUAGAUAAAAAAUAAAAACUAAUUGCACAGUUUAACUAUAAAUCGCGAGACGAAUCUUUUGAUCCUAGUUAGUCCAUGAUUGGACAAUAUUUGUCACAAACAAACAAAAAUACUACAGUAGCGAAAUUCAAAAUCUUUUCGCAUCUAAACAAGGCCUGAAAAAGGCCCUGAAUGGCGAAUCAAAUGCUAUAAGGAGCACGGAGAAGUGAGAACAGCAUUACAGAGGCUGCUAUCUUCCAUUUAUGUUCUUGCUCAAACUGCAGAUGGUGGUGGGCAUCGGUACCUGCAGCAUACACAGCAAACCAUUAACAUUCAGUGCUACUUGGAUAAUGGUACUAGUUGUAGUGAGCUCAUAUAUGCAGAGUACAGUCCAACUCAUGUAGAUAAAAGGUUCUGUAAAAGCUUCUAGACAAUAACUUCCAUUGAUCAAUCUUAUAAAAACAUAUUAUGCAGCACAUAUAUAUAUAUAUAUAUAGCUAUUUGCAAUUACAUCCAGAUUUGUACUUCUGGAACAUGCCAUGGCACUCUGAAAUUGCUUUCAAGCUACUCAUCAACUCUUCCCAGCGAAACAGAUGCCGAGAAAGCCAAGAGAAAGAUCAUAAAGCUGAUGGCAGCUAUGGUUGGGACCUAUCAGAACUGAGGUUAUUCCAAACACCGAGCGGGAAGCCUGGGUGGUCUGGUCUGGAAGAACUUAUGCCUUGUUUAGUUCGCAAAAAUUUUCAAGAUUUCAAGUCACAUCGAAUCUUUGGUCGCAUACAUAGAACAUUAAAUAUAGACGAAAAUAAAAACUAACUGCACAGUUUACCUGUAAUUUGUGAGAUGAAUCUUUUGAGCCUAGUUACUCCGUGUUUGGACAAUGUUUGUCAAAUAAAAACGAAAUACUACAGUAGCCAAAAACCAAACUUUUUGCGAAACAAGGCUAGCCACCGGCGAAGCAGCGAGACGGCGAGACCUAGACCGACGCGUGCGGCGUGCAAGGACCGAAAGGCUGGUCGUGACCGCAUCUGGCUGUGUCUGCUACCGCGGCGGCGGCGGUGGCCGGAUGCUAGCUCAUCACGGCAUGCUCUCGUCAUUUUCGAUCCCAAAAGCAAAAACGAACUCGCACCUACAGACACUCGCCGCCGACGAGACGGACUGACGGAGGAUGGGUCCUAACAGGCCUCCUGCCCGAGAUCCGCUGGGCCCUGCUGGCCCAUGGAAGUCUCGCUUUCCCGACCAAGGACAACGCCACGUGCAGGUAGGUGCCCGGUGCAGCACGCUUCCGUUGCAAGUUGGAACGAUAGUUAGGCCUUGUUCACUUGAAAAUUUUUGGUUUUGGCUACUGUAGCAUUUUCGUUUGUUUGUGACAAAUAUUAUUCAAUUAUGGACUAACUAGACUCAAAAGAUUCAGCUCGCGAAUUACAGGUAAACUGUGUAAUCAGUAUUUCGUUUUGUCUACGUUUAAUACUCCAUGCAUGUGCCACAAAAUUCGAUGUGACGGGGAAUCUUGAAAUUUUUUGGGUCCAAAAUUUUUUGCAAAAUUUGAAUAGUAGCACUUUCGUUUAUAUUUGACACAAAAGUGCUACUAUUCACAUUUUGCAAAAAAAAUCGUCUCGUCAAAAGAUUCGUCUCGUCAAUUUCGACCAAACUGUAUAAUUAGUUUUUAUUUUCAUCUAUAUUUAAUACUCCAUGCAUACGUCUAAAGAUUCGAUGUGACGGGGAAUCUGAAAGAUUUUGCAAAAUUUUUGGGGAACUAAACAAGGCCUUAGGCACUCGUAAUGCAGACUUUAUCAUAUAGUCUAAAGUUAUUUAUUACUUCGAACAAUAUAAAUUUAGAAUCUAAAUAAGACUUGAAAUCUUAUUCUUUUUACUUCUUUCUUCAAUAAAUAUGCUGCCACAUCAGUAAAAUACCAUAAAUAAUAUGUAAUUAAUUGUCUUUGACUCUAUGAUAUAGUCUUGCAUUGUGAGUGCCCUUACAAACAGUUACCCACCGGUCACCGGCUACCUACACGACCCGCUGCACGGUGGGCCCCUGAGGUUGGGGCCCACCCUGCUCAUAUGACCUCACUCACGUCACGCGCACCGCAGCGUAGCGGCAUAUUUCGAAAAUGUAUUGGAGCACACACAUGCUCAAUAGGGUUUAUCUCAACCGUUAAAUAAUGUUCUCGAGAUUUGUGUUGUCCUUUCUUUGCUUGUAUUAUGUUUAUAUUUUUUCUUUCAAUGUAUUCGACGACAGAAGCGCCCACGUCGUGCGUACCCCACCCAUGUGCUGCCUCUCUUCUCUCACGCUCUCACGACAUGCACACUACAUCAGUUUUCGGUUUCUCUAACCACGGGCUUGUUUAGUUUCUAAAAUAUUUUGCAAAAACUUUCACAUUCCUCAGCAAAUGCAUUACAAAUCUUUUUGGCUAUUUAGUUUAUAAUUGGAUAAUAUUUGUCAAACACAAACGAAAAUUGUACUGUUUAUAUUUUGCAAUUUUUUUUAAGUAAACAAGGCCGACUUCUGCUUCUUAGCUCUUUUCAUGGCCUACUUCUGAAGUAGUACAGGUAAUGUAUACGUACAUAAAUACAAUAUACACGAAGAAGAUAGCAAAGAAGUUGUCACUGUAGUUGUACAUUUCGAGGUUGAGUUGGAUGGCUAGGAUAGUGCCUGUUGAGCAUGUAGACACAAAAAAAACCGGGUUCGGCAUAUUUCCUCCUGAGCCAGCCAUACUGCCCACCAGGCCACCCCACCACACCACCCCACCGAAGCCCUCCGUUUCGUACGGCCUCCCCAAAAAUCUCAACCCGUCUCUCUCUCCUAACGAAGAGGAGGAGAGAGGGGGGCAGAAGAAAACCUCGCGCGGGGGAGGCGCGACAGGGCUCGCGGGGGCCGGUGAAGGUGUCGCGCGCCGGCGCCGUCCGAGGUGAGCGCUCCGCUUCCCCACGACGCGGCCUCGCUUGCUCGCUGGGAAUUGGGUUUCGGAUCCGCGGAUGGGGGGGUGGGGGUGGGGGGGGGCUACAUGCGGUAGCUGGUUCGAUCCGGGUUGCGCGGAUUUCGCGCUGGAUUUGUUGGCACUCGGAUUAGACGCCGUGGUUGGUCUGUUGUGUGGUUGCGGCCGUGGUGAAUUGUUGCGAUCGGGUCUCAUUGUUGCGCUUGGUUCAUGUGUGUCACUGAGGGGGAGUGAGGAUCUGCGUAAGGAACCGAGUUCGAAUUUUUACCGAUUUGGCACUGCUGGUGUUCCAAAAUAGCUCACUGAAAUCUCUGGUACUCUGCGCAGUUGAUUUUUGUUCCGCUGCUGUUUCUAGGAGGAUACUAGGGGCUACUUCAUAGGCAUUGUCAUGUCGAAGCGUGGGAACGGUACUAAUGUUCUGGGAUUUUACCAUAGAUGUUGACCUUCUCAAAUAAAAGCUGGAAAAUCACCAUAAAUAAACCUGUUACCAUGUAUGUCCAGAGUGUCCAAAGUGGUUUUUAUAUAGCGUCUUAUGUCCUAUGUUGUUUCUCUUCAAAUAAACUUGAUGACUUGGAAGUAGAACUAGAGUCUUACAACUAUUGAAGUCAGAACUUGACUCAUGGAAUUUCGUGAAUGUUUUUUUUAAUGUGCAUGUGUAUGUGCCCUUUAUAAUCUGUAGAAUUUUAUUACAAUCACUGUGAGAACCAGUGGAAGGCUAGUUGGUUUGUAGCCCAAAUGCAGUAGAAGAUUAGGAACUGUGUAGUAUGUUUAUGCAUUCACAACUACUUUUUUGAGUGCAUAUUAGGUCUUGGAUGGGUAUGCUAGCAUUGAACUAAAAAAUUGAGAAGCACAUGGUUAGGUUACAGUUUGUAAUGUGCAUGAUAUCUGAAACUCGAUUUGAUUCUAAACUUAUUAGUGUUUAGCAUUUGAUAAGCUGAUAAAAAUGUUGCUCGAUUGUGCAUUUGUGGUCGCAUUACACAUAUGCUGCUGAACCUGGCACUUUUGGUCACAUGUAUGCUGCUGGAACAUGCAACGCGUGAUGCUGAAAGUAUUUAGCUUUGGUCACACAAAUGCUGUUGGAACAUAUGAGGGGCGAUGCAUGGCUGGUAUUGUAUGUUACAUUUGCCAACUUGAAUUUGCAAACAAACUUUCCUUCUUCGCCGAAUUUCAAUGGCAUUUUGGAUCUAGAGAGCCUGAAGGAACUUUAGGCCUUGUUUAGAUCCAAAAACUUUUUAGAUCUGGAUACUGUAGCACUUUUAUUUGUAUUUGAUAAUUAUUGUCCCAUCAUGGACUAACUUGGUUCAAAAGAUUCAUCUUGCAAAUUAUAGACAAACUGUGUAAUUAGUUAUUUUUUAUCUAUAUUUAAUGUUUUAUAUAUGUGUCACAAGAUUUGAUGUGACGGGGAAGUUUUUAUUAGUUUUUGGCAAACAAGGCCUUAAUGCACUUAGCGCUUGCUGGGUGAAGCGAAGCUCAUUUUGGUUCUAGAAGUGAAGUGGAAACCCAUCAGUCGUCAGCAUUCACCUGUUCAUUUUUUUUACCCCUCAUUGGAAGAGGAGAGAACUAAUAGAAGGCGAGCUUGCUGUCUAAGUGUCUAUGCUUAUUGUUUCAGCGUGAGACAGAAAGGAGCUGCCGUCCAGGACUCCAGGUUCCGGCACUUUUUAAAGACUAAGGGGUAAGAUGGUCAAUUCACAUGGUCAUACGAUGGCACAAGGGUAAGUGCAAAAGAAUUGAAUUAAAAAUGGGGAACGGGGAACAAAAUCGAAGUGGCUAUUGCUGGCAAAUGAGAGGAACCCAAUGUUUAAAUUGACAAAACGGCAAAAUUCUGACCUGCUACUGAUUUCGCUGCACUGCACUGCACCAAAGCUAACCUAGCUUCAGUCUUUCUUUUCAUGGAAAAAGUUCAUUCUACCUUCAUUUAGAGUCUUAUGGAUUUUUUUAUAUAUUUUUGGACAUUUUUUAGAAUUUAAUAUAUUGUUUUGAAACAUUUAUAAGAUAUUUUAGUGUGCUCUAUCGUAAUAUAUACUCCUUCCGUACUCAUAAAAAAAGUCAUUUUGGACAAGGUUUGAGUCAAGCAUUGAGAAUAUACAUAAUGAAUAACUUUUAAGUUGUUGAGUUUGAAAUGUGAAAAUCAUAUGAAUAGAUUUUGUCUUGAGAAAUACUUUCAUAAAAAUAUACAUAUACCACUUUCUGAUAUUUCUAUAAAACAAUAAGUCAAAGCUAGAUUUGGAGAUCAUGUCCUGUCCUAAACGACUUCCUUUGUAAAUAGGAAGUAUAUUUAGGAUUUUUUCAUGUUUUUAGAAACUUAGAGGCAUUUUCUAUGGUUUGAAAAUCUUACCAAGCAUUUGUUGGAUUCUUUAGCUAAAAAGGACAAAACCAUCUUCAAAACCACCUCAAACCAUGAUAGGAAGGUAGUUUGAAUAAUUUUAAUAUUUUGAAAAUAUUGCCGAGAUAGUUCAUAAAUGUAAAAUGGACUUUUUCCUCUUUCCAUUAGUUUCACCCUUCCAGUCCCGGGCUGGGCUCACACUUGACUGUGGAAGGAGCAGGCCGGGCUGGCCCCUUUUUCGAGAGACAGAAAGAGGCAGAGGAAUCCAAACAGUGGGCCAGAUCCAGCCGAGUCCAAAUAAGCAGGCCCAUUUAGCCAGCCUUCUCUUUUCUUUCUUUCUUGCCAAGAUUUCAUUCACCAUUUUCUAAAAGAAAAAAGUCUACUUACCCCCUGAAGUAUUGACCUGUGUCUAGGCCCUCAACUACAAAACCAGGUAACCUACACUCUAAAAUUUGGAAAAAGGGCAACGAACCCCCUGGGGCGGUUUGGGAGGGCGGUUUUGGUGACGUGGCAGCCAGCGUGUCAGCGGUAUGACACGGUGGCGUAGGCGAUGCCGUCCAGAGGUGGCUAGCAGGCAGCUGGUACUUGAGCGACGGAGAUGAGCGAGUCGAGGGCGUCCUAGGGCAGCUGGUACUUGAGCGACGGCCUGGGCGCCCCCGACGCGAAGAGCGCGGGCGCAGCCUUGGCGCGAGCGCGGCGACGAGGGCGGCGAAGGAGGCCGCGGCGUGCGGGAAGGACACAGUGCGGGUCACCCUGCCGACGUAGCGCAGCUGGCGGUCCCCUGAGCGGGGCAGGAUGCGGCCGUCGAAGCUGCACAUGAGGCGCACCUGCGGGCCCCCGUGCGCCGCCUACGCUUGCGCGGGUGGAGCGACCGGGGUGGUGCGGGCGUCGGGGGCAGAGGCGGCGGGUGGUGGUGGUGGUGGUUGCCGCCGUUGCCGUUGGCGACCCCGGCGCGCGGGGUAGAGGACGCUGAGGAGGAGUCUGGGUGGUGCGAGGACGAUGACGUCAUAGGACUAGUGCAGCGACGCGCCGAGGCGGGACAGGUCCGCGCACGCUGCGAACACGCGGUUGUCCGAGAACUUCUCCACCGCGCAGGUCCCGGCGCCGACCGCGUGGGCUGGAGUGGCCGCCGCCGCCGCCAGCGUGGCGAAGAGGACGGCGAUGAGGAGCCACGGGAUGGACAUGGCCGCGGCUACGCGGGGUGGGGGUUCUUGCGUGCUCCAAGGAAGGGGAAUCUACACAGAGAGGGAUGGAGAGAAGGUUGCGGAUUUUGGGUUCCGGAGUAGCGGAGUUGAGCUCGUCGGAUGCUGCAGUGAAGAGAAACAGGGGAGGAUGCGGAGUAUUUGAGGGGUUGCCUGACAUGUGGGCCCACCUGCUAGCCACCUCUGGACGGCAUCGCCCGCGCCACCAUGUCAUACUGCUGACACGCUGGCUGCCACGUCACCAAAACCGCCCUCCAAACCGCCUCAGGGGUUCGUUGCCCUGUUUUCCAAAUUUUAGAGUAUAGGUUACCUGGUUUUGUAGUUGGGGGUCUAGGUUAGACACAAGUCAAUACUUAGGGGGGUAACGGUUGCACUCGUUCCGGAUGCCGUUCCGGACGGAGGCGGAGGAGGUUUUGCACCUAGGCCCUUAUAGUUUUCUUAUUUGAUGUGUACAUAAGAUUUUGCAUUGGGAACCCUGAAAAUUUUUUUAUUUUGUUUUCCUCUUCAUCCGGAACAAAGGCGGACGGAGGGGGAGGCAGACAGAUUUUUGGGGACAGACUGAAAUUUUGGUGAUUAAGUAUUAGGGAAAGAAUAUAGAUAUAGAUAUAGAUAUAGAUAUAGAUAUAGAUAUAGAUAUAGAUAUAAUAUACAUAAAAAAGAGGCUAGGCCAGUUCAACAAAAUUGGGCAGGUUCAAGCCUGGCCCAAAUAAGCCCAUGCAGCCCAUCAUAGUCCCAGAUUGCACGAUCAGGACGAAGACCUACCCGACGGCGCCGGCAGUGCUCACAGCCACGCAGGAGCAGGAUGCCCUCUCUCUCUCUCUCUCACACACACACACACACACGACCCCAGCUUGGUACCCCGCGUCCGGCCUCCAGCAUCCCCACCCGACGCCGACGACCACCUCUCAGUGAUUCGUCCUCUGCGCGUUGGCCCUGGUUGCUGCCCGCGUCUAGUAGGGGGGCGUCGCCCGGCGCGCCCUGCAGCAGCUCCUGACAGCCGGCGCCGCCAGCACCCGCAGCCUCGCGCCCUCGCCACCACCCGCUGCUACAGCGCGUGCGCGCCCAGAAGGGGCCGGCGGCCGUCCGCCGGCGCACCCAGCCGGGUGCAGAGACGAGCAGGUAUGGCGCACGGGGCAGACCAGAGGCGAACCCAGCACCAGCAGGUAUUCCAGGUUUUGAUUUUUACUUUCUCCACGUGAUUGCCUGGGCGGACAGAAACAUCGUGGAUUACUGAAAUUAUUUUGGCAAUUUAUUAUUAGGGUAUAGAAUAGGAGAUUUUGCAUGGGGAACCCUAGAAAAGAUUCUAUUCUCUUUUUCCUCUCCGCAACCGAUUGAAGUGGAUGGCAUUGGGCGACGAAAGGCUGACAGGGCGAGCGGACAGAAAAAGGCAGACUGAAAUUUUCCCUCUCUAUAUAGAGGUAUAGCUAUAUAUAUAGAUUUAUCCCCGUAAUUUGUCCCCGUGACACCUCAUCUCUUGCUUCUCGAGAUGCAUUACCGAAGUUUUUUUUUUCAAGUGCGUCUGAUUGAUUUGGCGUCUCUUUCCACGUCAGAUUGAUCUUGAUCGAGGCGGAAAACAAAUCCGUCUCUUCCCACCAAGCCACCAACCGGCAACCGCCGCCAUCGAGUGAUGGCCGCCGCGCCGCCCGACGAGCGAAAGCAGGAGAGGCCGCUGACGCCUGCGACGUCGGCGGCGAGCGUGGCGGCGGACUUCGCCAUGGGCGGUGCGGCUGCCGUGGUGGCCAAGACGGGGGCCGCGCCGGUCGAGCGCGUGAAGCUGCUGCUCCAGAACCAGUCAGAGAUGCUGCGCCGGGGCACCCUCACGCGCCCCUACAAGGGCAUCGCCGACGCCUUCGCCCGCGUCCUCCAUGAGGAGGGCGCCGCCGCGCUCUGGCGCGGCAACCAGGCCAACGUCAUCCGCUACUUCCCCACCCAGGUCCGUCUCUGUUUUUGUUCCUUUUCCUUGGUACACAUACUAGUAGUAGAUACCAUUGCUUGAUGCGCCUCCAUUGCAUAUUUGCAUUGCCUUCUCUUACUGCCAAGCUGCUUAUGAAUUUGACACCGACUAAUCGAAUGCUCUACUCACAAAAUUAAUUAGCAAUCAAUGCUGUGCAUGGAUUAUUGGUUCCUGAGUGCAGAAAUUACAGAGCUAGAAAUCCAGAAAUCUUUUUCCUUCGGGAACUCAGACUUCCUGAACCCACAUGUUUGUUACGGCCUCCAAUCCAUUGUUCACAAUUCCUUUCCAUCGCAGAAAAGAGAAAAACAACCAUUCUAAAGGUGUUGACUGGACAGUAUCCUCCAUCCUGUCGUCGCAAAGAAUCCUGUGUGCAUUUUGCUAACACAGUUUUUUGAAACUAAUACUACUAGGAAACAGAAAUGCUUGGUAAGGCCUGGUUUAGAUCCAAAAGGUUUUGGAUUUUGACACUGUAGCACUUCCUUUUGUAUUUAGCAAUUAUUGUCCAACCAUGGACUAACUAGGCUCAAAAGAUUCGUCUCGCAAAAUACUGGCAAAGUGUACAAUUAGUUAUUUUUUUUAUCUAUAUUUAAUGCUCCAUGCAUGUGCCACAAGAUUCGAUGUGAUGGGGAAUUCUUGAAAAGUUUUUGGAUUUUGGGGUGAACUAAACAGGCCUUAAUAUGACCGCUUAUGGGUACAAGGAGUGCUUUCUCUAUAAAUACAAUUCAGUGAUUCACAUCUGCACUGCACUUUUAUAUAGUGAAUCUUCAUAAAUGAAAAUACCAGGCCUGUUUAAGGAGAGUGUGGGGGUGUGUUUGUAAGGGCUCUUUUCCUUUAUUUCUUUCUCAAUUCUUAAUAUAAUGAUACACAGCUCUUGUGUGUGUUCAGAAAAAAAAGUAUGCCAAGUUUUAAGUCAUACUUAGUUUUAGUGAUGACAUAAAAAAGACCAGGCUCAACAUUUGCAUCUAUAGGUUUUUAUGCAUUUUACUACAUAGGCUUAUAAUUUCUGUGAAAAGAGCAAUCCUCCAACCUUAUGCAGGUCAUGUGGUUGAACUAUAUGGCAGCUAUCUUUACAGCCAAUUAUCUGAGCUGUGUUAUCGGACAGUUAAAUGAGCAUGUGCUGCUGUUCCCUAUAGUUUGUCUAACUGUGCUUAAUGUUGCAUUAUCUAUGUGUGUCGCACCCUGGAGGCGGUGGUGAUAUAGUUCUUUGUGUCCCGUGAGUGGCCAUUCAUAUUUAUACUUUGUCAAAAAAUUUGAGCUUGUCACUUAUUAUGUGUUUUGCACAUAGAGUUGAGUGUGAGGUAGGGCAAGCUAAACUCUGUAUUAGGUGUGAACUGAGGCCUCUUCUAAAGAUGCUGAGGCCAGAAAAUGAAUAUGUUUUUCCCUUCAUGACAAAAAAGCACCUAAAUGAAACUUCCAUUGUGCAGGCUUUUAACUUUGCAUCCAGGGGCUACUUCAAAAGCUUCUUUGGCUAUGACAGGGAGAAAGACGGACAGUGGAAGUGGUUAGCUGGAAAUGUAGCCUCUGGAAGUGCUGCAGGAGCUACAACAUCGUUGCUGCUAUACCAUCUAGAUUAUGCGAGGACAAGGCUAGCUACUGAUGCAAUUGAAUCACGGGGAACCAAACGCCAGUACAGGGGGUUGCUGGAUGUUUACAAGAAGACACUUGCAACUGAUGGCAUGUCUGGACUAUAUCGAGGUUUCAGUGUGUCUAUUAUGGGAAUCACCUUGUACCGUGGUCUAUAUUUUGGUAUCUAUGAUAGCAUGAAGCCUCUAGUUCUAGUAGGCCCAUUGGAGGUACUGACAGUCUCAUGAAGUUGUAUGACUAUCACAGGAGUUUCCUGCUAAGUUCUAUAUGUCACCCUUAACUUCUGUUUUUGUUGCUAUUCAGGGGAACUUCUUCGCCAGUUUUGCCUUGGGUUGGGCAAUAACUACAUUCUCUGGGGCAUGUGCCUAUCCAUUUGACACGGUCCGUCGUAGAAUGAUGUUGACUUCAGGACAACCAUUUAAAUACAAGAACGGUUUCCAUGCAGUAAAACUGAUAGUUUCAAACGAAGGGUUCUUCACAUUAUUCAGAGGUGUUGGUGCAAAUAUUCUUUCAGGGCUGGCGGGAGCUGGAGUUCUUUCUGGGUAUGAUCAACUCCAACAGUUGGCAAGCCGGCAUGGUCACAAUUUUGAGCGCAAGAUGAAAGGGGCAUUGAAAUGAUGUGCACAUGGAUAUGAAUAUAUUCAGCUCCUUGGUUGAAGUCAUCAUUCAAAUGCGGUGCACAAGCAAGAACCCCUGAGCCUGAAGAAGUUCACAAAAAUUAUUGGGGAAAGACAAAGGAAAAGUUUUCCUGGAGAUGAAUCUCACAAGGAAGGAGAUGGAGUCAUUGCAACAAAAGAUAGCUCUUGUAAACAGAGAGUGCUGAAUAUUAUAUUUAAUGUGUAGAUCUAAUCCUUCAAGUAUGAAUACAUGUACAUGUUGGUGUUUCUUCGAUCAUUUGGGUCCAAUAGUAUCCUAUCAAUGUGAAAUGUAAAUCCAAAUCCUUCAGUAGGUCAUGACCAAACUAUUUUUCUAAGGAAAAAGAGAUGGAUCUCUUGACUCUUGAGGAAGGUUCUUCAGUUCCAGAUUUGGAUUUCCGCUAACAUCAUGAGCGUGUCAUGUACAAAUGCACAUGACAUUUUUGCAGGGGCGUCAGAUCUUUUUCCAAAGAGACAGGAUUCAAGUGGAUUUCGCAUCCAAUAAUCUGUCCAUCACUGAAAAGAGGAGUAAAGGAGCCUCUAAUCCCCAUCUGUCUCCGAUUCUGAUCAUUGCCGGGGAGCUGAGUAAUUUCCACCGCACUGGCAGCACUGAACAACUGAAAGGAAGGGAGGCUGAUGAGCCGUGUGAGCUCACUGUCAAGUCUGGUGAUGGACUUCUCCAUGGGAGGUGCGGUCACCAUGGUGGCCAAGAUGGGGGCCAUGCCAGCAGAAUGUGUCAAGCUGCUGCUCCUGAAGACGAGAACUAGGAUAAGAUAUUGUGGCUGGUGACCUUCACCUACUCAUACAAUGGCAUCACGACACAUUCACCCACAUCCUCCGCAAGGAGGGUGCACCUUCAACCAGGCCAGUGUCAUCCGCUACUUCCCACCCAGGUACGGUCUCCUUCCUUUUCCCUGUGUAGACUGUAGAGUCAUUGCUUGGUUCGCCUUGAUGCAUUGUCUUCUCUUCCUGCCAACCUCCUUAUGAAUUUGAUGUCAAGUGUUAAUUGAAUGCUCUGCUCAUAAAAUUAACUAGCAAUCGAUACUAUGCAUAGAUAUUGCAGCACCAGAAUGUUUCCUUCAAGAACUUCUACUUCCUGCACCGACAUGCUUGUUAUGGCCCGAUUUCUCACAAUUCCAUUAUAUCACAGAAAAGAAAAACAAUGUCACAACUCUUCAAGUAUUGUCUGGCUGGUUCCUCCAUCCUCUAAUUUCCAUGAAUGCUAUGUGCAUCCUGAAAGCAAAAUUCUUAAAACUAAUACUUGGAAUUUGGAAAUCGCAAUAGCUUGGGAUGGUAAUCUGACUGGUCAUGUACUCACGUGUUUAUGGAGUGGUCCUCUUUAUAUAGUUAUAUAUACACAAUACACUUCAUAUCUGCAUUGCACUACAAUAUAGUGAAUCUUCAUAGAUGAAACUAAACUAUGCCAAGUUUUUAAGGCAUACUUAUUUUUAUUGAUGACAUAAGAAAGACCAGACUUUGGAUCAUAUGUUUUUAUGCACCUUACUUGAAAGGCAUCAAAUUUCUGUGAAAAGAACAAUCCUCCAACUUAUGCAGGUUAUGCAGUUGUACUAUAUGGCAGCUAUCUUUAUUAGACAAUUGUUCUAGCUGUGUUAUCGGACACAAUUAAAUAUAUAUGUGCUUCUGUUUC
rnacentral:lncRNA from 1 species